rnacentral:lncRNA from 1 species
UUUUUUUUAUUCUAACCAAUGGAAACCACAAUUCCCAACAAAGCCUUUAUAUUCCUCACAAUGCUCUCCAUGGAUAGUUUAUGCUAUCAUGAAGAAAUAAUUCGGAUAUUGAUGAGUACAAGAAGCAACACAUCGCUUAUCACAACUUUUAACCUCUACAAAGAUGAACAUGACAUUUCCAUCACUAAGUUACAAAUGAUAGCAAUCACUUCAUCUUCUUUAACUGAAGCACAAUUUUUUUGGUAGUUGAGUUUGAAUUUCUAGUAGGGUUUUUGCAUUGAAUCAACUUCAAGGAAGCAUUAGUAGAUCUUUAAUUAGAUUUACAAAAGUAGUACUUGUGUGCAACAUUCCAACUAGUCCUUUCUACAUAUUGUUAAUGAGUAAAAAAAAUGCAUGCAAUUCAUAUUUGAGUCUAUCUAUUUUCAUGAAAACUUGAGGAACUUCCAAUCCAUAGGCACUUGAUGCCUGCAUUGCAUGAAACCUUUUGUUGCAUCAAAAACCCUAAAAAAUAAUUUGCAAAUUGAAAUUUCGAUAGCUAGUACUAGUAGAAACUAAUGAUUUCAAGAACCCAAUCAAAUUAUGUUAUUUACAUAUUUCACAACAAAAAGAGUAAAUUUGAUCAAGAUAUACUUUGUGUGAUUGCUAUGAGACUUGAGAAGGACUAGAAGGUGAUCAAAGAGCUAUUCUACAAGAGGAACAAUGUCUCUCUUGAUGAUGUGGUAGUCAAGACACUUCAAACAUUACAAGGAUGGUAUAAAUAGGUUUUUUUUUUUUUUUUUUUUGCAUGCUUGUUAAUGUAUGAAUUGAAGCAAUUAAGGCUAGAUUAGUUGGAUUGACAUCAACUUUAGAGCUUGAGUUGAUUUGAGAUAUCACUCAAUUAGAUUGAUUAAUGUACAACCUAAACUUGAUUAAUGUACAUCUUCAAUCUUCUUGGUUAGAGGAGUUCCAUAUUGCUUAUUAUAUUCCUCAGCAAUGUCCUUUAUAUCAACAUUGGCUCGGGUUACAAUAACUCGAGUUAGGGCUUCUUUUUAAUCCUCAUUUGCGUUAACUUUCAUUGCCGAAUCUAAAAUCUAAGAUUAAAAAAAAAAAUAGUCCAAGAAAUGCUUCAACAAAAAAAAAAAAGAUUAUUUUUUUAAUGUGUUAUAGUGAAUUUAUCUCACCUUACUGAAAUACAUCAGAUGAGCAUACAAGCAAUAAAUUGUGUUCUUCAAACUUGUCUCAUCAAGAUCCUAAACAAUGAGGAAUUAUAUUAAAAUGAAUAUUUUUGAAAGCUAAUUCAAGGAAAAAUGAGUUCUAAUAAAUAUUAAAAUGAAAAGAAUUGUUCAAAGUAACACAUGAAUGAGAAUUGUUUUUUUUUUUUAAAGAAUUUAUAAAAAAGACUGGAGUUUAAAAACAAUAUAAUGAAUAAGAAUAAAAAUAGAGUAAAAAAAAGGCACAUGAGUGGACCACACAAAUAAUGUUCCAUGAUUCAAAACAAUAUGUUUUUCCUUAUAAUUUGUAUGUCCAUAAUUUUACAUGUUAAACUAUUAGCAAAGUAUAUAUUUCAAUUUUAUUACUUCUUAGAAUGUAUUUGGCAUGUGAAAAUAAAGAUAAAUCAUAACAUCACGUAAAAGAGAAAAAAUUAAAAUCUAAAAAACAAAAAAAAAAAAAAUUUGUAUCCACAAGAUUGAAAUUUUAAUUUCAUUCUUAUAUUUAAUAAGUAAUUUGGACUUAGAAGAAAUAAAUAGGAAAUGGAAUAGGUUCUUUUUAUUCCUAUACCCAUUUUCUAUUCUAGUGUUUCAAAUAUGUAAAGUGAUAAUAGUAGAGGAAAAGGGAAGAGAAGGAAAUACAAGGAAGAGGAAAAAGGAGCAAAGAAAGAGAAAAAAAAGAACAUAAAAUAACAAAGAAGGAUAACAAAUACUAACUUUUAAGUUAAAUACUAAUUACCUUUCAUUUUUUUUUCUUUUUCACUUUAUUCAUUUAUUAUUGUUUAAGUAAUGAAUAAAAAGUCCAUUUGAUAUGGAGGAAUUAAAAUACGAUAGGAAUGUUGGAUGAUGUGUAUUAUGUAAAAAAAAAAAAAUAAUUUUUUUAUAAUAAUAUAUAUACUUAAAGAAAAAUUGUGUUUUCACACAUUCACUCAUGUAAAAAUAAGGAAAAAGUGUGUUUUCAUAUACUUGCGUAAAAAUAAUUACAAAAUAGGAACUUUGUAAAAAUAAUUCAAGUUUUAUGCACUCAUCUAGUUGAAUAUAGUAUCUAUAUCAUUAAAAUAUAGUAUUUGAAUGAUCAAAAUUGUAAUUUGAGCAAAAAGUGCAUGAAAUGCUAAUUAUUUUUAGAUAACUACUUGAAAUUUGUAUUUUAUAAACUUGAGUUUCCAUUUGGUGGUUUUUUCAUAUAAAUGUAGGGAAACACAUUUUUUUUUUUUACUUCUCAUUUCCAUUUUUGAAAUAAUUCAAAUAUAAUAAUGAUUGGAAAAUAGAAUAGAUUUCCUAUUCCUAUUUCACAUUCUAAUGUUUCAAACAGGCCAUAAGAAUUAACAAAUAUAAUAUCAUGAUUAUGUUAUACCUCUUCAAUUUUCUUGUUAAAAGUCUCCUAGUAACAUUUGAAGACGACCUUGAGCUGAGGUUUGCUUCUUGUUGCUAGAAUCCUUACAAUCUCUUCAUCUUUGAAUAGCUUCUUCUUAUAACCUUAUCUAUUAAUGGUUAUACCAAGUUUUACAGCCUCUGAUCUAACUGCCACAUCACUAAUUUGUGAUCCUUCAUAUCUGUACGUACUUACAAGUGCUACCAAAAGCUGUUGAUACAAGAAGCAAUUUUUCAUUACAUUAUUUCAUGUUGAUAAUAAUAUUUGUUACAUGGUUUCUUUAUGUGGUUAUGAGUUUUUAGUUAUCAUUAGAGAGAAUGUGUUUGAUUAAAGCUCUCCAAAAUCAAAGAUGUGGGAGGGAAAGAACUAUGUUUGGUUGGUGGGCAAAAUGGGCUUUCAAGUUUCAAAUUACGACAUACAAUGGGCUAGGUUCAGUCAAGAACAGUGUUUGUCUUUUUAGCUUUUUAUUGAAAGCAAUUUGCUUUUGGACUUUAAGUUGUUUGUUUUUCUACUUUUCAUGACUUAUUAUAAAUUUUUGGUUGAAUAGAAAAAACUAAAAUAUUUGGUUGAAUAGAAAAAAUCAAAAUAUUUGGCUUUUUCUAAAUGGAUAAAGUACCAUGUUGUUUUUCUUUACCUUUUAAUGCUUAAUAUAAAUAAAAUAUUAAAAAAACAAACAACCUAAUACUUAACAAUAUUAAGCACUAUUUAGUUUUAAUUUCUAUUUAAAAUUAAGUAAGAAAACAAACACCACCUUAUGCUUUUUGGCCCAUAAAUGAACUUCAAAUUGGAUCCAAAAUAUGAUAAAGCUUGAAGUCCAAUUUAUUAUGGUUGGGUUUAGGGGUUGUACAGAUUAUUGGAUGGAGUUUUUGAAGUGUUGGACCAAACUAAAAUGAAAUCUCAACUAUUGAGUUGAUAUUUGAUGAUAUUGAUAGAUAAUUAAACUAAGAGCCCGUUUGACAAUGAUUUUAGGAAGUGUUUCUAACAUUUUUAAUGCUUAAAAAUGUAUAUCAUUCAAGUGUUAGAAAGACUAGAAACAUUUUAUAAAAUUACUAUCAAACGCACUCUAAAAGUAUGUUUGACAAUAGUUCUAGAAAGUGCUUUUAACUUAAAAAGUGUUUUUGAAAAAAAUUAGAUGUUUAGUAAAAUUUAGGAAACACUUCUAAAAAUAUGAAAAACCACUUGUAGUAUUGAAAAGUCACUUAUAGUAUUUUUUGGAGAAACACUUGAUAAAUGGUUUUUGUAAAAAUAUUUCUAAAGAAAACACUUCCAUUAAAAAUACUUUAAGUUGCCAAACGCACUUUAAGAGUGUAUUUGACAGUGUUUCUUCUUGAAGUGUUUUUAGCCUAAAAAGAGUUUUUGAAAAAAAUUGGAUGUUUGGUAAAAUUUAGGAAACACUUCUAAAAAUAUGAAAACUCACUUAUUGUAUUGAAAAGUCACUUAUAGUAUUUUUUUGGAGAAACACUUGAUAAAUGAUUUUUUUUAAAAAAAAAAUUGAAGUGUUUUCUACAUUUUUCCAAACAGUUGAUUUUUCUUCAAAAACAGAUUUCUUUUUUCUUUUUUAUACUAAAAGUGCUUUCUAGAAAUACUAUCAAUCGGACUCUUAAAUUACCUUUCAAAUAUGACCAAGUUGCUUUCUAAAUAUGAUCAUCUUACAUAAUUAUGACCACAGUAAUUCUUGAUUGGUUCAUUAACAUGAUUAUAUAUAUUACCUCUCACAGUAUCCUAACCAACACUGCACCAUAUAAAACUCCAUUAUUGAGAAAAGACACAAUUAUAGGACUUUCUAGAAGUCCAACUAAUGGGGACAAAAAAAAAGUUCGAAACUCCAAUUGGAGAAGAGUAGGCUCAAAAGAUCAUUUUCAAUUGCAUACUUUAUGGAGAAAAUAUAUGUUAGAAAGAUAGACGAAAGCCAUCUUUUUAAGAAAUAAUUAGUCAAAAUGCUUCAAUAAAUUAAUAAGAUAGAAAUGCUCUUUACUUGAUUAAAAAUUGCAUAAUAUCUCACUAAUCUAAGUCAAUUUUUAUUUUCAAAUAAAACAACUAAAAAUAAUGCUCAUACACUUCAAAUAUAGUUUGAUGCAAAAAAGAAAAAAAGAAAAAAGAACGUAACUAAAAUUAGUACUAACCUGGCGUUUGAUGCCUUCAACUCGGGAAGCAACAUCUUCCUCGAUGGAUUCACCGUAGAGGGACUGGUAUGCUUUCCUAGCUCCCAAGAGCCCGUCUGAUGAUUUGAUGCAUGCAAGUUCAAUGAGUAAGCCAUAUGCUUGAGGGUGUCUGUCCAAAGCCUUCCUUGCCAUGCGAGCAUCUCUUUCCCAAGGAUGCAUGGUCCAUUGCACCACAACAUCCUGACCACAAAAAUGUUAAAAAACUAAUCAUAUUAUUGUAAAAACCAAUAUUUAAGUCAUCAUUUGUCUCCUUGUCUUUUCUAAUUGGCUUGUAAUUUUUGUUUUCUCAUAAGAAUUAAUUUUUUUUAAAAAUAAAAUAAUGUAUAAAUAUCUUUAAUUUUAUGUUUCGCAUAAAUACCUAAUUUUAUAUUGGACAUAUAAUACCUGAAAACGCAGAAAUUCCUUUACUAGAAAUGCAAUAUCAUAAUCUUGGCAUCUCUCAAACAAGAAGUAUUUAUCCUUAAGAAAGAUGGAAGAACUUUCAUUCCUAAAAGUUGUCAAGACUUUUGGACGCCAUUUUACUAAGAUCUCCAUCAUUGAUUUCUCGUUAACUCCAAGUAUUCCUAGAAAGGUAAAUCAAGAUUAUUUCAACCUUCUAAUCAAUAUUAAUAAUGAAAGAACAAAGAAACAAUUUGAAAUCAUAUGGGACAUGAGAUCACAUGAAAUCAUCCAUAUUGUCACAAAUUUUCACUAGAAUUAUUAAAAAAAUAACAUACCACAAUAAGUACAACUAGAGUAAACAAUUUGAAUGUAAAAGAAUGCAGUUGUUUGUGAUUUAGAAAAAAUAAAGUCAAGGGAGAAGGAGAAAGAACCAGAGAAAGCCUUUGUGAGAGUGCGGCUCUCAUUUGGCAAAGACAUAAUUUUUCUCCCUUCUUCGCUUGUUUUCUUUUUCCUUCUUUUGAUGGAGGCAACAAGAAUGGUGGCCUUCUUUACCUCCAUCAUGGAAUUAAUUUUAUAAGUAAGCUAAGGGGUAUUUAGGGUAAGUAAGAAGACUAAAAAAUGGAAUGACUUGUGGGAGGGGGGAAAUGUCUUAAUUGCAUGUCAACAUCAUAGUGUACUUGCUUAAGUUAUUUUUGAAGUUUUAUCCAUUUUAAGACUUGAAUAUUUUCAAUUUGAUUUUGAGUCAGACUUGAGAGUGAUUUUAGCUACUACAACUAUUUUUAUAGAGAAUUAUUUAGUGUCUAUGUAAAUAAAAAGGCAAUAAUUUUGAUAGUAUUCCUAGUAAUAUCAAUUUUUUAGAAGAAGCAUUUACCAAUAGGACUAGUUUAAGAAUCAUUUCAAGAGAUUCUUAAAAAAAAUUUAAGUAAUUUUUAAAAUUUUAUCAAAUGCCUAAUUUUAAUAAAAUUUCCAAAAUCGUUCAUUUUUUUUCCAUUAAAUAAAGUGAUUUAAAAUUUUUAUUAAAUAUCUAUUUUUUUAAAUUUUCAAAAUCACUCUUAAACACCCUCUCAUAAUCAAUUUUCUAAAACCUUUUCUUCUACACAUUAUUGUAAAAAUUUAACUUAAAAUAUUAUCAUGUCCCCAUACAAUUAUUUAAUGAGGAAUUAUCAAGAGAAAGGUCAUUAAUGACAUUAAUAAAUUAUAGAAAAAAAGAUGAAACAUGUGUUUCAUUUUCUACUUUCUUUUAUUGGAUGGAAAAAAUGCUCAAAAUAUUUUAUAGAAAGGGAGUUGGAAGGAGAACAUGGAAUGCACAAAGAAAAAUAUUAUUUUAUUUUAUCAACAUUAGUCCAUUUUGUCUAUUUCAUGACUUCUUUGCUGAAUUAAAAAUCGAAGGUGAAUCUUAAUGAUGAACUACACCUAGAGAGAAAAGGGGGGGGGGGGGGGGGGGGGGGGGGAAAAGGGGAUUUUAAAAAACCCUUUUGAAUCUAAAAAAAAACCCUUUUUUGCCCCCCCCAAGCCCCCGGACCCCCAAAAAAAAAAAAAAAUUCCCUUGGAACGGCCCAAAUUUUAUUUCUUUUUUUUUAAAAAAAUUUUUUUUUAUUUUUUUUUUUUUAAAACCAUUUCAAAAAAGGAAAAAAAAAAUCCAAGGAAAAAAGGAAGGGAAAAAACCCCCCCCAAAGGUUUAAAAAAAAAAGUCCAAGGGAAAGGGUUUAAACCCCCUAAAUAAAUUAAAUUAAAAAAAAAAAAAUUUUCCCAAAGGGUUUUCCAAUACCCCCUGGGAAUUAUAAAAAAAAGAAAAAAAAAAUUUUUCAAAAAAUUCCAAAAGGGAAUUCCCCCCUUUUCGCCCCAAAUUUUCCCCUUUCAAAAAAAAGGUUUAAAAAAAAAAGGAAUUUAAAAUUGGGAAGGGAUUCAAAUGUUGAAAGGGGGGCAAAAAAAACAUGGCCCCAGAUUUUUUGGGGGAAAAUCCCCUUAAAAUUAAAAAANNNNNNNNNNNNNNNNNNNNNNNNNNNNNNNNNNNNNNNNNNNNNNNNNNNNNNNNNNNNNNNNNNNNNNNNNNNNNNNNNNNNNNNNNNNNNNNNNNNNGGGGGGGGGGGGGAGUGAAUAGGUGAUUUUAUAAAUACCUUUUGAAUCUAUAUAAAAUCACUUAUUUGCCCCUCCCAAGUCCCCUGAUCCCCUAACAUAUAUUAACAUUCCCUUUGAAUCGUCACAAUUUAUAUUCCUUUCUUUUAACAACUAUUUAUUUAUAUUCAUUUCUUUUAACAACUAUUCAACAAAGGAUAAAGAAUAUCACAAGCAAGAAUGAAUGCAAUAAUACCCUCCCAACAGUUUAUAAAUACAAGUCACAUGCAAAUGCUUUAACACUCCUUAAUUACAUUAAUUCAUAAGAACAAUUAUCUUCCUAAUGCAUUUCCAAUUACCUCUUGAUAUUAUUAACAAUAUGAAUAAAAAAUUAUUCAAGAAUAUCCAAAAGGUAAUUACACCCAUUUCAGCUCAGAUUUCAUCCUUUCAACAUACAUGCUUAAGUAACAAAUGAUAUCUAACAUUGGAAAGGAAUCAAAUAGUAGAAUGAGAGCAAAAAAGACAAUGACACAAGAUUUUAUGUGGAAAAUCUCCUUAGAUAUUAAAAAAACUAUGAAUCUACCAAUGAUAAAAAAAUUCCUCUAUCAAGAGUAACCAAUGCGUAGAAGGUUUUACUUAACUCAAGUUUGCUAAUCUUUCACGGAUUGCUUAACCAACACCUUCUCACUUCAGCUGCAUGCCUUCAUCUUUUAGAACAUUCUUGAAGUCCUCACCAAGCUUGACCUCGACUUCUUCAAGUUCAAUCAAGAAGAAAAUGAGUUUUCAUCCAAAACCUAAAUAAAUAGUAAUUGAAAGAUGAAUAGAAUAGAAGAAGAAAAUGAGUUUUCAGCCAAAACCUAAAUAAAUAGGAAAUUGAAAGAUGAAUGGAAUAGAAGAAUCAACCCAUUUUUUAAGAAAAUCUGAUGGAAAACAAUUUGGAAAUCAAGAUCAAAAAGAGAAUUUUCUUAACAACUUAACACGCUUAAUUAGAUAAGGAUAGAGAGAGCUCAAGAGGGAAGGAGAACGGCUGCAGGUAUCUCCUCCCAAAAUAGGAAUCAAUUUUAGGUUUGAAAUGGAAUGAAACCCUUGAUCCAAUGGUUAAGAAAACAUAAAGAAAAAAGCAACCUGAAUCGACCUGACCAAAAUCUAAAUCCAUAUUGAAACAAGGCGUUUAAACACUUAGACAAGAAAAGUUGUCCUGACCUCCUCAACUCUUUUAAGAAAUAAAUAGUUCUAGAAUAACUAAUUGAAAAACUUGGUUGAUUCAUUUCGUCCAUCUACAACCUCAACUACAUCUUUUGGUCCCUUAGCAAAUUCAACAUUUUGAUCUUCAUUAGGCAAGUAGUCCAAAGAAGGAUUUGGAAAAAUUGAGUUAAGAGACAGUUAGGAAAUUUGUCCAAAAUUAUCAACCUAACUAAACACUCACAAAAACAUAAAUACUUGUAUUACUUUAUCAUAAAGUUUCCCCUAUUGUUUUUAGGUCUAGAAAAAUCAUCAAACAAUUUCUGGACAAGGUGUAACUAGAUGUUGCCAAUGCCAAUGGAGUUGUGCUUGUAGAGAUGAGUCUCAAGUAGAGAUGGAGCAUUGCUAAAGAACAAGUGAGAAUGAUGUGCUCUCCAUAUGUCUUCUAAGUGUUUUUUAUCUUUAAAUAUGUUCUCUGAAAACACAGUUUUGAGAAGACAUAGAACAACAUUGUUUUUUAAAUCACCAUUUGUCAAACAUGUUUUUAAGUGUUUUUUAUUCUAAAGAAUGAAAACCACACUUUCCAACAUAGCCUUUAUAUUCCUCACAAUGCUUUCCAUGGAUAGUUUAUGCUAUCAUGAAGAAAUAAUUUGGAUAUUGAUGAGUACAAGAAGCAACACAUCGCUUAUCACAACUUCCAACCUUUACAAAGAUGAACAUAGCGCUUCCAUCACUAAGGUGUGGAUGAUGGAAAUUACUCCAUCUUCUUUAACUGAACCACAAUUUUUUUUUUUUUUUUUUGGUAGCUGAGUUAGAAUUUCUAGUAGGGUUUUUGCAUUGAAGCAACUUCAAGGAAGUAAUAGAUCUUUAAUUGGAUUUAUGGAAGUAGUACUUGUGUGCAACAUUCCAACUAGUCCUUUCUACACAUUGUUAAUUAGUAAAAAGUGCAUGCAAUUCAUCAAUGACUCUUUGCCUAUUUUCAGGAACUUCAUCAGGGACUUCCAAUCUAUAGGCACUUGAUACCUACAUUGCAUGCAACCAUUUGGUGCAUCAAAAACCCUAAAAAAUACUUUGCAAAGGUGAAAUUUCCAUAGCCAAUACUUGUAGAAACUAGAUUGUAUUUCUUGAUUACUAGUAAAAUUCUAAUGAUUUCAAGAGCACCCAAUCCAAUUGUGUUAUUUGAGUAUUGCAUAACAAAAAGAGAAAAUUUGAUUUAGUUAUACUUACUUUGUGUAAUUGUUAUGAGACUUGAAGGUGAUCAAAAAGCCAUUUUCUGAUUAAUUAAAUUUUAUGGCUAAAAAUAAUUGCUCAUAGACUUAGAGCAACAAACUCGACAAAAAAAAAAAAUUUGUGGAAAAAAAAUCUUUUAUCACAAGAUACUAAUUUUUAAUCAAAAAUUAGUUUGUGACAAAACCUCAUAUUUGUUGUAGUGGCAUUACAAGGAUGGAAUAAGUAAGUUUUUUUAAAAAAAAUUUUUUGCAUGCUUGUUAAUGCAUCGAUCGACAUGAUUAAGGUUGAAUUAGUUGGAUCGACAUCAACCUUAGAGCUUGAGUUGAUUUAAAAUAUCACUUAAUUAGAUUGAUUAACGAACAAUCCAAACUUAAAUUAGGGUUCAGAGUUUAUGAUUUGGUUUGGAGAAGAAGUUGGCCAAUUAAGCUAAUGCCCAAAAGACCAAUUUUUAAAAAAAGAAAAAAAAUGCUAUGAAGAUAGGUUUUUUGAAAUUAAAUGAUAUUUGAUUCGUCCCUAGCAGUGGCAGUGGCAAUGGCACCAUUUGAUUCGGGGUUCGAUCCCCGGCAGCGGCGCCAUUUGAUUCGUGCCCAAUUGGUGUCUCAGCUGAUUCGUGUCCAGCUGGUGCUCCUUGAUUGAGGGAGUAAUCAACAAAAUUUAUAACCUAUUACACCAUAUACUAGGGUAGCAAAGACAAAGCUACUAUAGCAUAGUGGCUCUAGGAUCGUCCACUGGGAUGGGUUUUCACUUCACAAUUGAUAUUAAUUCAAAGAUGAAUUGGUGCCUUUUCAUUUCAAGGUUAGCUUUAAAAGAAAACAUAAAUUUGUUUGAAUGAAAAAAAAGUUUGGUUUUAAACUAACCAAAAAUAGUAACUGAUUUUACUUACAAAGAAAAGAUGUUUCUUCGAGUUCAGAUCACUAGGCUCAGGUUCUUCAUAUAAAAAGGAGAGUUCCGGUCACUUGUUUCUUUUCCUCGCAUUAGAGAAUUAACAUAUAGUUCCUUCUCCAACUGGUGUUGUACAGAUGCUUCCAAUUAAUGGGUUCAAACACUAAAUCCCUCUCACUGAUGCAUCUUGCAAUGGCUCAUACCUCUCACCUAGCACUUGCCAUUCAAGAUGAUCUUUCACCUUGGAUUACCCGUCAAAAGCUCGCAAGAGAUAACUAAUGGAUGUCUCCUUGGAGUCCAAAAGCUUACCAAGUGUUGGCUAUUCUAGAAAAUCCUACCUUCAAGUCACCUCCCAAAGGCUCGCAAGGGGUAAACUAGUGCAUCUCCAUGGACGGAGAUCACUUGCCUUACCAAGUGUUGGCCCAGGUGAUUUAAAGGCGUUUUAAGUUAACUAAAAAGAUAAAAACCAUUAACGGGUCACACUUUCUCUUCAUUAAAAACUAAAACAACAAAACUUCCAAUUUAUGCAUGUGGAAACUUACCCGGCUUUCUUCACUCCAAGAAACAAAAAGCUUAGCCUCUCAUCCUCUGAGGAAAAAUCCUCAGAGUUUUGUUGGCUAGAAAUAAAAAGAAAUGAAAAAUGAAAGAGAAGGAAAAACAGAGCAAGGCUCUGUAUAUUCUAUAUAUUGAUCGAUAUGGAUUACAUAUAUGAUGAUUCCCCGAGCGUCUCCUGAGAGUGUUUACAAGAGAGUUUAUAUAGGAAGGUAAUUUAGCCUUCCUUGGAUACUUCCUAGCUAAGGAAUUACAUGAGUGGCUGAAUACAAGGAGAAAAUGGAAAUUAUACAAAAAUAUCUGAAGAAAAGAUCUAAAAGAGUCGGUGCAAAAAUAUCGGGAAGCUCCAGGAACCAUUUCGCAUGAGAAAAAUGGUGUCUGUGAGAUUUCGCAGACACUCAAGAGGGCUGCGAAAUAUUUUCGCAACAACAAGCUAAACUUGCAAGGCUGCGAAGUUGGCUUCCACCUUGAGGUUUCAAGCUUCCUUCUCGCGGUAUAGGUCGGGCAACUUCAGAAGGGAAUCCACAACACUGUACAAAAAGGCUGCGAAAUUCUCGCAACAAAAGGCUGAUUUCGCAACACUUUGUUGAAUCCUUCCUUCAGCUUGGAGCAGUCAUCUUCCAAAGGCUGUAACUUCCUCAUUUCAGCUCCAAAUCAUACACGGUUUGAAGCGUUGGAUUCUUGACUUCCUGAGCUUUGAAAUGGUAUAUAGAAUGUAGAAAAUGGACCUUGGAAAGUGCUCCAAAAGUGCGAAAGAAGACUGUAGCUGCUGUCCUCUGUUUUCUUCACUCUGUUUUUCCUCUCUCCUUGCUUCUCUCCUUGCAUACUUUGAACGACUAAGGCAAAGGGAUAUGGAGCUCAAAAGCUUGGUUUCUUCAUGAAUUUGAGCUUCCAAAAGCUUUGCCAUAACUUGUCCAAGUAGCUCCUCCAUCAUUUGGCAUGCUUGAAUUGAUUCAUAAGCUGAUAAAAACAUGUAAACUUGCCACAAAAUGGUUAAAACCAAUUACUAAUGACCUUAAUGAAUUAAUUGGGUUAAAUGAAUAUGAUUACUACUCAAAGGUGCUUAAAACCAUUAUAAUUAGGUCUACAAAAUAGCACUUUUUGGUAGUAAUCAAUAUUAUCACACACUAUCCUUAAUCCAAAUAGAAUAUUAUUAUAUAACCAAGCUUCAAUCAAUUAAAAGGCAUGCUUUGGAACUCAAUCAUACUAGAAUUAAUGAUUUAUUAAAGUUUCACUUCAUAGGAACACCACACUUUUUAUUAUUACACAUUGCUCUUGCAAACAUAGGAAAAUAAAGCAUUAGUAGAGUUUGAUUCAAAGAAAAAGAACAAGUCCAUCAAGAGAGGCAUUUUUAAUCACUUCCUUUAGGCAGAGCUCUUUGGACCAACGUGACCAAGAAAUCUUUAUAAUUUCCAAGAGCUACAUCUUCAAUCUUCUGGGCUAGAGGAGUUUUAUAUUGCCUAUCAUAUUCCUCAGCAAUGUCUUUCAUAUCAACAUUGGCUCGGGUUACAAUAACUCGAGUUAGGGCUUCUUUUUCAUUCUUGUUUGCAUUAGCUUUCGUUGCUGAAUCUAAAAUCUAAGAUUAAAAAGAAAAAAAAAAGUUCAAGAAAUGCUUUAACAAACAAAAAUAAAAAGAUCAUUUUUGUAAUGUGUAUAGUGAAUUUAUCUCACCUUACUGAAAUACUGUGGAGGAUCACAUAAGCAAUAAAUUGUGUCCUUCAAACUUGAUUCCUCAUCAAGAUCCUAAAUAAAUUAAAUACGGAGGAAUUAUAUUAAAAUGAAUAUUUAUGAAAGCUAAUUCGAGGAAAAAUGACUUCUAAUAAAUAUUAGAAUGAAAAGAAUUGUUCCAAGUAACAUGAGAAUGAGAAUUGUUGUCCUACUUAUUUAUUUAUUUUUUUAAAAAGAGAAUUUAUAAAACAAAAAAUAAUAAAAAUAGAGGAAAAACUACACAAAUAAUGUUCCAUGAUUUGAAAUAAUAUGUUUUUCCGUAUAAUUUGUAUGUUCAUGAUUGUACAUUUUAAACUAUUAGCAAAGUAUAUAUUUCAAUCUAAUUACUUCUUAGAAUGUAUUUGGUAUCUGAAAAUAGGAAUAAAAAUAAAGAUAAAUCAUAAUAUCAUGUAAAAGAGGAAAACCAAAAUUUGAACAAGAUAGAAUUUUGCAUCCACAAGAUUGAAAUUUUACUUUCAUUCCUGUAAUUUAAUAAGUAAUUUGGACUUAGAAAUGAAUAGGAAAUGGAAUGGUUUUUAUUUUAUUUUUUAUUUUUUAUUUAUUUUUCAUUCCCAUUUUCUAUUUUAGUGUUUCAAAUAUUACACAAUUUUUCUUUAAUUUUUUCCAAGUAAAAAAGUGAUAAUAGUAGAGGAAAUGAGACAAUAGGGACAUAUAAGAAAGAGAAAAAAGUGAUAAUAGUAGAGAAAAUGGGACAAUAGGGACAUAUAAGAAAGAGGAAAAAGGAACAUAGGAUAACAAAGAAGGUAACAAAUACUAACUUUAAGUCUAAUGCUAAUUAACUUUCACUUUUUUUUUUCUUUAUUUCUCUUUAUUCAUUUAUUAAUAUAUAAGUAAAGAAUAAAAAGUGCCUUUGAUAUGCAGGAAUUAAAAUAUGAUAGGAAUGUUGGAUCACAUGUAUUAUCUUAAAAAAAAAAAGGGAAAUCAAAAUUUUUUUGGUAAUAAUUUAUUUUUUUACUUCUUAUUUCUAUUUUUGAAAUUAUCCAAAUGUAAUAACGAAUGAAAAAUGGAAUAGAUUUCUCAUCCCCAUUUCAUAUUCUAAUAUUUCAAAUAGGCUCUAAGAAUUAACAAAUAUAAUAUCAUAAUUAUGUUAUACCUCUAUAAUGUUCUUGUUAAAAGUCUCCUGGUAACAUUUGAUGACAGCCAUGAGAUGAAUCUUGCUUCUUGUUGUUAGAAUCCUUACGAUCUCUUCAUCUUUGAUUAGCUGCUUCUUGUCACCAAUACUAAUGGAUUUUUCGAGUUUUUGAGUGUCCAAUUUAAUUGCCCGAUCAUUAGUUUUUGAUCCAUCAUAUCUGUAUGAACUUACAAGUGCUACCAAAAGCUGUUGAUACAAGAAGCAAUUUUUCAUUUCAUUAUUUCGUGUUGAUAAUAAUAUUUGUUGCAUGGUUUCUUUAUGUGGCUAUAAGGUUUUAGUUAUCAUUAGAGAGAAUGUGUUUGAUUAAAGCUCUCCAAAAUCAAAGAUGCAGGAUGGAAAAAACUAUGGAAAGGGUUGGACCAAACUAAAAUGAAAUCUCAACUAUUGAUUUGAUAUUUGAUGAUACUAACAAAUAAUUAUACUAAGAGUGCGUUUGAUAAUGAUUUUAGAAGAUGUUUAUAGCAUUUCUAACACUUAAAUGAUACAAAUUUUAAAGUAUUAAAAAGUUUGGAAACACUUCCUAAAAUCACUAUCAAAUGGGCUUUAAGAGUCUAUUUGACAGUAAUUUUAGGAAGUGUUUUUAACGUAAAAAGUGUUUUUGGAAAAAAAAAAUUGAUGUUUGAAAAAAUUUAUGAAAUAUUUUUAAAGAUUUGAAAAAUCACUUAUAAUGUCUUUUUUUUUUUUUUUUAAGAAACACUUGAUAGAUGAUUCGUCUAAAAACACUUUAAUUAAAAAUACUUUGAGUAAAAACACUACUAAAUGCACUUAAAAAAUGUAUUUGGCAAUGUUUCUAUUUGAAAUACUUUUAAUAGAAGUGUUUUGUUUACAAGUAUUUUUAGGUGAUUUUUUAAUUUUUGAAAAGUAUAUUCUAAAUUUUUCCAAACAGUUGAUUUUUCUUCACAAAUGGUUUAUAUAUAUAUAUAUAUAUAUAUAUAUAUAUAUAUAUAUAUAUAUAUAUAUAUAUAUAAAAUUGCUUUUUAGAAGCACUAUCCAACAGACUCUAAGUUACCUUUCAAAUAUGACCAAGUUACUUUCUAAAUAUGAUGAUCACAUUAAUUCUCGAUUGGUUCCUUAAUAUGACUAUAUAUAUUACCAGUCAUACUAACCUAACCAAGACUGCACCACAUAAAACUCCUUUAUUGAGAAAAGACACAAUUAUAGGACUUUCUAAGAGGCCAACUAAUGGGGUUUUAAGGCUCAAAAUAGGUGGCUUAAACCCAAAAAAAAGUUCCAAACUCCAAUAGUACAAGAGUAGGCUCAAAAGAUUAUUUGCAAUUGCAUAUCCUUAAGCCCAACCAUCAUUUAUGGAAAAAAUAUAUGUUAGAAAGGAAUAUGAAUGCCAUUUUUCUUAAGAAAUAAUUGGUCGAAAUGCUUCAAGAAAUUUAUAAGACAGAAAUGCUCUUCACUUUAUAAAAAAAUUGCAUAAUAUCUCACUAAUCCAGGUCAUUUUUUUUUUCAAAAAUAACAACUAAAAAUAUGAUCAUAUACUUGUACUAACCUGGCGUUCGAUGCCGUCAACUUGGGAAGCAACGUCUUCCUCGAUGGAUUCGCUGUAGAGGGACUGGUAUGCUCUCCUAGCUCCCAAGAGCUCAUCUGAUGAUCGAGUGCAUGCAAGUUCAAUGAGUAGGCCAUAUGCUUGUCUUCCUCUUUUCAAAGCCUUCCUUGCCAUGCGAGCAUCUCUUUCCCAAGGAUGCAUGGUCCAUUGCACCACAGCAUCCUGACCACAAAAAUGUUAAAAAAAACUGAUCAUAUUAUUGCAAAAACCAAUCUUAAGUAAUCUUUAGUCUCCCUAUCUUUUGUACUUCCAUUGUAAUAUUUGUUUUUUUAUAAGAAUUAAUUUUUUUAUGAUAAAUAAUAUAUAAAUAUCUUUAAUUUUAUAUUAACAUAAAUAUCUAAUUUUGUAUUUGAUAUAUAGAUACCUUAAAACGCUUAAAUUCCCUUUUUAGAAAUUUAAGAAGAAUUUCUUCACAUUUCUCAAACGGGAAGCGUUCAUCCUUCAAAAAGAUGCUAGAAGUUUCAUUCCUAAAAGUUGACAAGUGUUCUGGUUGCCAUUUUACUAAGAUCUCCAGCAUUGAUUUCUCGUCAACUCCAAAUAUUCCUGGAAAUGUAAAUCAAGAUUAUUUCAACCUUCUAAUAAAUAUCAAUAAUGAAAGAACAAACAAACAAACUGAAAAAUGUUUGAAUAUGGGAAUUAUGUAACAUUUGCUCUCCCGAUAUGAUAAUGUAUCUAAAUUCAAAAUUGUUAUAUUAAUUUGUAGACUGUAUUCAUUAGCCAGUGGGGAGAAAAAACUAUAGUGUAAAUUACAAAAAAAAAAAAAAAAAAGGUUUCAUAUGGGACAUGAGAUCAUAUGUAAUCAUCCUUACUGUCACAAAUUUUCACUAGAAUUAUUAAGAAAAUAAUAGAUGAAUGAGUAGAAAGUAUAUUGUAAAAGAAGGCAGUUGUUUGUGAUUUAGAAAAAAACAAAGUUAAGAGAGAAGGAGAAAUUACCAGAGUGAGAAACAGAGAAAGACUUUGCAACAGCAUCUGACAAAGACAUAAUUGUUUUCCCUUCUUUGUUUGUUUGUUUUUUCCUUCUUUUGAUGGAGGCAACAAGAAUGGUGUCCUUCUUUACCUCCAUCAUGGCAUUAAUUUUAUAAGUAAGCUAAAGGGGUAUAUAGGGUAAGCAGGACCAUGAGACUAAAAGAUGGAAUGACUUGUGGGAGGGGGGAAAGGUCUUAAUUGUAUGUAGUCAUUAUAGUGUACUUGCAUUCAUUUAUGGGAUUCUUAAGUUAUUUUUGAAGUUUUAUCCACUUUUAAGACUUGAAUCUUUUUAAUUUGAAUUUGAGCCAGACUUGAGGGUGGUUUUAGCUUAUAAAAAAAUGUUAAAAAUAUUAGGGCUCCUUUGAAGUGAAUUUGACAAGGAGGCUUUUGGUCUAUAGCAUUUUUUUUAAUAGUACUUCUAGCUACUACACUUAUUUUUAUAGAGAAUUAUUUAGUGUCUAUGUAAAUUAAAAAACAAUAAUUUUUAUAGUAUGUUCAAUAAUAUCGAUUUUUAGAAGAAGCAUUUAUCGAUAGUACUAAUUAAGAAUCAUUUCAAGUGAUUCUUCAAAAAUUUUAGAAUAGAUAAUAAAGGAUUUUUAUUCCCCAACAACAAUGGAAAUACUAUGUAUUGCUAAUUUAGAUUAUGAAAUAGCAAGAGAAAUUUUGACACUCAUAAAUGUUGACUUCUCUAAAUGCAUUCAUGAAAGUUAAAGUUUAGAAUAGACAAUAUUUAUAUAUAGAAUUCUCAAAUUAGAAGGAUAAUUUUUUUAUAUAUAAUUAUUAAAAAAUAGAAAAUAUAUGCAUAAGAUAACAAUGAGAUAUAUACUCCAACAGAGAAUCUUGUAAAGAGGUUUCAAAAUUUUGAAUUAUUUGUUUAUUAAAGGAGCUCCUUACGAGAAAUAUUCAAAAGAGGUUCCAAAUUUUAAGACUUUUAACAUGUUCAAUGAAAUCUAUAUUUAUGCCAAACUUGCUCUUGGAGAAGGGCACAUUAUCUAGCUUGGUUAAUUAGAAGUGAUAAGAAGUUCCAAAGUUUAGAAUUCUUCUCAUAUUAUAGAAACCAUAUUUUAUUUUAUUUUAUAAUUUCUUCAAGAAACAUUUCCAUCGAUAGGUGUAAGAAGGUAUUUGGCAUAAGUGUCUUUGCACCACUUUUUUUUUUUUUUUUAAAAAAUAAAGAUUUGAGAAAAAUGUAAGUGUAUUGUUUACAUGUAAUCAUUUUUUUGACAUAAAAAAGUAGAACAACCUUCAAAAUUAAGUAAUUUCAUUAUCAAAACAUUGAUGAAACUAUUGUAGAUUCCAUUUAAGGGACUAAAGGUUUAGAGUAUUUUUGGAACAUUGAAAUAGAAAUUAAGAAUGAAAAUUCAUUUUAUUUUCUAUUUACUACUGUAUAAAUAAGAGUAUAGGAAUAAAAUACUUGUUCUCACUGAAACUAAAAUCCAUUCUAGCCAGGAUUUUAAUUCCCUUUAUUCUACAUAGUAUUUUAAUUUUUAUUUAUCCCCAUUCUUAUUCCCAUUCCUAUGUAACUAACUUACCCUUACUUUUCUUAAAUAGUAAGAGAAGGUUGAUUUUUUAAAAAAUUAUUCUCAUUUCAAAGUAAAUUGGCUAACUACUCUUUGUUUCUUGGCUAGGAGGAAAUAAAUCUUUUGAGUUACAUAUUAUGUAUCCUUAGCCAUUUUUCUUCCUUGUGAAGCAACUAUAUAACUUUGACAAAGACUUCGAUUCAAUGGUGAAGAAAAGAAAUGUGCUUCUAUGUUCAUGAAAAAGGAUACCCACUUGUGCCUCUCUUUGUCUCUAUCUUUGUCUCUCUCUCUACUAAAAUGAAUAAAGUAGAUCUAAUACAAUUACAAUGGAUGACAUUGAGGAUUCACAUAAGAAUGACGUAUUGGCAUAAUGAUCAAAGAACAAAAUAAAGUUAGUAAUCUGUAAAUAUGAAAAAGAAGCAACAAAUUAUGAGAGUCAUCUACACUUCAACUUUAACUGCAUAUUUUGCUUUAGAUAAGAUAUGUGGGUCCUUAAAUGAUCUUUCAAGUUAAAUGAAACAUCGCUUUCAACAUUAGACAAAAAAACAAAAAGAAGAAAAAAACUAAAGAAAAAAACACAAUUUUUAUGCUUAUUAUUUAUAUUUCUUAGUUAAUAUAACAUAAUGGUUAGGCAAUUUUUAGUAAAUACAUGAUAAAAUAUAAUCAAAUUAGCUAGAAUAUUAAAUUCAUCUUUUGAUAAUUUGAUUUUUAGGUAGGUAAAUGUUUCGGUGGUUAAAUUAUUAUUAAAUUAUUAUUAUUAUUAUUAUUAUUAUUAUUAUUAUUAUUUUAUAAAGAUUAGGCAAAAAAAAUUCUUAUUAUGGGUUAUGUCACACCCAAAAAUUCGAGAACAUGACUUAAUCUAUACUUAAGAUCCUACCAUGAUUCCACACUUCAAAUUAUGAUUAAGAAGAAGAAAUAAUCACGUUCAUGUACAUAAACCACUAGAUGUAAAAUAGACAAUUUUACAUCUCAUCACAUUGAACAUCAAAUGGGAGAGCUUGAGAAUAACAUAGAAUAGAGCUCAAGUAAUAAUUAACUUGUCACACACCAAAGUUUAAUCCAUGGUACAUCAUGAUAAUAUAAAUAAGUACUUUGGAUCUGAUGCCCAAAGACAUGUCUAUGCCUCCUAUCACAUCCACAUGGGAUCUUCUUAAGUUAGCUUUCACCUGUUUUAGAAUCCCAAUGUCCUCUCCUUUAAGGCUUUCACCCUCACCUUUGCCACCAUUAAUUAAAGAGCAGGAACCUACCUUUAUUGGUACUAACAACCAAUGGUUUCCAACAUCUCCAAGGCAAAACCUUUAUCAAUUCCAAAAAUUCAAACCUUCAUAACCAAAGAGAUACCUACCUAUUUGGUUCCUCAAGGAACCAUCCCUGAUCAAGGUUUAAGUAGUAGCCCUACAACAAACCAUGAACUGACAAGUGUAGCUUUGCAUUAAUCCAUUAUAGUAUGCUUGAGCUCUACAACGGUUACAUGCAUGAAAUAUGUUAAAACAAUGCAUACUUAAUGGAUAUCCAUGAAACCAAAUUUUGGAAAGGUAACCAACGGAUGCUUAAUCUUAAAAACAGAAGCUACCCUACCAAUGGUGAAAAUCACCAAAAAUCAGUGACUAAAGUAGUUUCUUUUUCCCGUGAUUCAAUUGAUUUAGGUGCUGCAGGUAAGCAAAUUCAUGGAGAAGAAAAUGCAAUGGAGAAAGAUGAGGAGUGUUGGUGAGCUAAAUUAUCUAGUUUAAUUCAAGUUUAAAAUUUUGUUUCCAAACAUUACCAGAUCCACUCUACAUACUUCACUGAGACUAUAUUGGUCAUUGAAGAUUGAGUUCAUCAAUUUAUGUAUGCUGUAUACAGUUGAGUACGAAAUGAAAGUGGUUAGUAAGCUUAAUGGUAAAUAAAGAGGCAUAGGAUGGUUUUAUGGAAAAAGUGGGCUAAAACACUGCCAAGUUGUGAAAACAUUUCAUGGAGUGCUCAAGAACCCAAGGUGCUCAACUGCCCUUGAUAAGCGCUUAAGCACUCAAGCCAUUUUUUUUAUAAUAAAUUUGUGGUAAAAAAAAAAAAGAUUCCUUUGUCAUAACAAAUUGUUAGGAUUUUGUUAUAUAGAUAUGCCUUCUAGAGUUUAAAAAAGCUUCAUGUGCCCUAAUAUGAUAUAUAUAUUUUGCAUCCUUAUCCAGUUUUCUUUUUUGUCAAGCACCCAUAUAACUUUGACAAAGACUUUGAUUCAAUGGCAUGAAGAAAAGAUAUGUGCUCCUAUGUUCAUGGAAAAUGACUCACUUGUACCUCUCUCUCUCCUAAAGUUAAUAAAGUAGAUCUAAUAUGAUUAUAAUGGAUUACGUUGAUUCACAUAAGAAUGACAUAUUGGCAUAAUGAUAAAAAAAAGAAAAGAAAUAAAGUUACAAAUCUAUAAUUAUGAAAAAAAAGCAACAAAUUGUGAGAAUCAUGUUACACCUAAAAUUUAAGUACACAUUUUGCUUUAGAUUAGAUAGAUAUGUGGGUCCUUAAAUGAUCUUCCAGGUUAAAUGAAAUAUCACUUUCAACAAAAAAUAAAUAAAAAUAAAAAUAAAAAAAUAAAUAAAAGAAAAAGAAAAAAAAAACUAAAGAAAAAACCACAAUUUUUAUGAUUAUUAUUAAAUUUCUUAGUUAAUAUAAUAUAUUGGUUGGGGAAUUUUUAAGUAAAUAUAUGACAAGAUUGGUUGAAAUAUUAGAUUGACCUUUUGAUAGGAAAAUUGACAAAAUUGAUUGAAUAGCAAGUGGAAAAAAAUUUCCCUAACCAAUAUGUUAUACUAACUAAGAAAUAUAACAUAGACAUGGACAUGGCAUUCUAUUAGCUCGAAAUGGCAUGUACAUAAUUAUUGCCACCAAAAGGUGGUUGCCCUCUACUUUGGAUAUAGAGGACAUGUGGAAAGCAAAUUUUGUGCUUGGAGUUAAGAUCAUAAGGGUUCACUCAAGAACACUUCUUGGUUUGUUUCAAGAGACUUACAUUAAGAAAAUUUUAGACCAGUUUUGGAUGCAAAAUUGCAAACCUAUUGACACACCUAUUGAGAAAAGUUACACCUCGAGUCUUGAUCAAUGCCCUAAGAAUGAUAAGAAAAGGAAAUAACUGGCAAGAGUUCUUUAUACGAGUGCAAUUGGAAGCUUGAUAUAUGCUCUGUUGUGUACUCGACUUGACAUAUGUUUUGUAAUUGGAUUGGUUAGUCAUUACCAAAGUAACCUAGGCCCUGUUCAAUGGCGAGCAACUAAGAAGAUUUUUCGUUACCUCAAAGGGACUAGAGAUUUUGUCCUCUGCUAUCAAAAUGGGGACUUGGAGAUUAAGAAGACACUAUAAUGCAGAUUGGACUAGUGAUAGAGAUUAAUGCAAAUCCACUAUAAGAUAUGCUUUCUUACUCAAUGACACUAUUAUUACUUGUCGUAGUAAGAAACAACCCUACAUUGCUUUAUCCACCAUGGAGUCAUAAUAUGUCACUUGUUUAGUGACUAUAUUGGAGGUUGUUUGGUUGGGGAGAUUAUUCCAAAACCUAAAAGUCAUGGAUUUAGCCAAAGAGCCUAUCACUAUUUUUAGUGAUAACAUAGCUGCUUUAGCAUAUAGUUAGGAUUUGUGAAGCUUGGUUGAAGCUUCAAGUAUAGUGAAUACCUCACUCGGUUAGGAGUUUAAGGAGAGUGAACGUAGGCAAGGGGUGCCAAACCACUAUAAAAUCUGAGUUUGCUUUCUCUAACUUUAUCUCUCUAUAUUUGUGCUUCUUUUGCUUGAAUUUAUUGUGCUUGAAAAAGAAUUUUUAAAACCCAAUUUACCCCCCUCUUGGGUGUUUUCUUUAUGAAGACUAGCCUUUCUUUUCUCAAUAUGUAUUUAAUUUUUGGACUCCUACCUAAGUUGAUAGAUAAAAGUCAAAUGUGAAGUUAUUCCACAAAUUCAUAUAGCAUGAACAAAGCCAAAUGUGAGACCUUAGGUAGGUGCUUGAUAAACAAUUGUGCUAAGAAACUCAAGUUAGGCACUUAGGGAGACGACUAGGCUAAGAUUCCUAUGACAUCGGAGAGUGACACACUCACUCUUAUGGGAGCUCCAUCUUGACAUAAAUAUCAUAAUACUAUAUGUGCUAUCUACAACUAUAAGAGAGAGUUGUUAGAUGGAUCCCUGCUCCAACAUUGUGUGAACUCUUAUAGACUAGUUACUAUAAAGUUUACUCUAUACCCUUGAACCUAGGACUAUGUCAUGCAGCAAGGGUAAAAUGUCACUACUUUAACAUGUAAUCCAAGGGUCAUGAAUGAUACGGUCGAAUGGAAUAUGUUAGGAAAAUAGUCAAACCUAAAUGAAUUGACUUAAGUGGUUGGGGAAGAUUGCUAAUAACACACCACUAUUUGUAGCUCAUAUAUCAACUUUGUGUUGGGGAAAUUAAUGGUCCAACCUUGAUCAUCCCCAACAGUAAACUCAGUUGCCAUGGCCACAGCGGGAAGAACAAUUGCGAAGACUGCAAGGGCAAUAUUCAACAGUUUAGACGCCAUUGCAGCUGAUUAAAGUUGAGGAGUACUGUAAUUCAUUGGUUUCUUGGAUUGUUGAUGUUCAUCCUAGGCUCUAAAGGGUCUAUUUAUAGUUAAUGUUUAGAUCAGAAUAUUGUUGAAAGCGUCUAAAACAUGAAGAACGGGAUGGGUCUGCAGGCCACAAAGCGUUGCCGCGGAAAAAGCUUUGGUUAGUACGCAAUUAUUCCAUGAGUAAUUAAUAUUAUUGUAUGACAAUUGUAAACCCAUAAUUCUCAUGGCCGUUUUCUUCGGUCCAGACAUACACACUCGAGCAUUGAAUGGUCAAUGUUUAGCUUUAAAAGCACAAAUUGAAGUUCCCUGGAAAAGUGAAUCUUGGGGCCGGCUUUGUGGCUAGGUGGACAUGCACAACGACAAAGUGCUGUUGUGCCAAGCCCAACUCAAUUUUCAUCACCUUAGCCUAAGUUGAUGCAUGGGUUUUGGUAUUGGGCUUGUGGUAACCCUAAGGUCCAACCUAUCAGGGUUGAGGAGCGUUUUUUUGUUCUUAGCUCCGUUUUUUGUGCCCAUUAUCAUGGGCUACAGCUGGCCCUGUCUUUGGCCUAAUAUAUCAGUUCGAGUACAAGUACAUUACAGGGCAAUAGUACAGAAGAGUUUCCACCAGUCCUCUUUCUAGGGUUUUAAUCUUCAUCAUUCUCUUGCAAUCUCCGUCUUAUUAUUUUUUUCAUGCUUAAUUGUAAGCUUAUAUUCUUGAUCACGGUAUUACCUAGCAUUUUGGUAACAAUCAGGAAUAUUCACUCACACAUGGAAAAUCACCUAUAGAGAUUGUCUCAACGCUAAACAUAUGGAAAACUAGUCAAUUGACUGCUGUAAAAUUUCACUAAAUAUAAAAUACUAGUCCACAAUUUUAUAAAAUUGACUGGUGUGGAAUAUAUUUUAUUAUUAUUAUAAAAAUUAGUUUAAUUAAAUUGUUUCAUUUUUUUUUUCUUUUUGAACAUUUGCAAAAUACAAAUGUAAGUUUUUCUUUUCACAAAAAUAAAUUAUAAAAAUUUAUAAUUUGAUAUCAUCCCUACCUAAUAGUCCUUAGGACGGUAUGUGGACUUAGCUAAGAGAAAUAGGUUUGAACUUAUAACCUUUGAUAAAAUAAUAUAUUUUGAUAUCAUAUUAAAUUUGUCAAUUAAAGCUUUGUUAGGUACAAGGAUUAAAAUAUCAAAAAAUAUAGAAAUAUUGAUGGCUGAAUUUGACGAAAAUAUCGGAUGAAAAUAUGAAUAAAAAAUAUUAGUAGAAUAGAAGUAAAUAAAAACUUAUAGAAAUAUCAAUAAAACUACAAGAAAUGAUAAAACAGCUAAUAAUCCACUAAUGAAAGUUAUUUUUACAAGACUAUAUUACCAAUAUUGAACUUUAGAUAAUGAUAUAUAAUACUUGAAAACACAUUUAAUAUUAAAUAAAUUAUUUAUCUAGUUUAUACAUAUUUAAAGACAUAAAAGAAAUGAUGACAUUUAACAUUAUUUUUGUUUAAAAAUAUUUAUCAUUUUAUUUAUAAUUUUAUGCUUCAUUUAUAUUUGAUAAUUAUAAUGAGAUAGAAAAAAAUUGUUAAAAGGAUUUUUCAAAUUUUAUAUUUUAAAUAAUCAACUUAUUCAAAUUUAAAAAUAAUUAAAAUUAGUUUAUUUACUAAAUUAAACUUAUUAGAAUUUAAUUUUAAUUUUAGUUACCUUAUUGGUUAGGUGAAACAACAUUAUAUAUAGAAUUUUGGGUCAAGUCAGCCUUUAAUCCAAAUAAAAUAUUAGCUUAAUUUGAGCUUCUUUUGAAAGUAUUGUUCGAAUUAGUAGUUUUGGUUUUGUUUUGUUUUUGUUUUUUUGUUUUUUAAUUUCCAUGAAACUACAAUUUGAAAGUAAGGUUUCAAUAUAAAUUUAUAGCCACAAUUUUAAUACUAAAACCAUAUUUUGAAACCACAUUUUCAAAAUGCAAUUUUAAUAUUUUUUAUUUUUUAAAAUAGAAGAUAAAUGAUGAAAGAGAAAGAGGUCGUUUUGAACAAAAAUUUCAAAUGAGGGCCAAAAUGCAUAUUUGUUUGCCCAAUGGGGUUGUUUUUAACCCAAACUCUUAUAUAUUUAUACAUACUCAAGUUGUGUGUACUUUUUUCGCCGCUUCUAGGCAUUACUAAUACAAUCUCUCAUUUACCUAUAAAUAUAAAAAAAAAUCUAUACAUACUCAAGGAUGAAAAUAUCAAUAAAUAUAGAUAUAUUGAUGCUUGAAUCUUACAGAUAUAUUGAAAAUUACAUCAGUAGAUAUUUUGACAAAAAUAUCAGUGGACCGAAAAUUGUUCAAAAUUCAUAAAAAUGCUUGGAAAAACUUCAAAAAAUGAUAAAAUAAACAAGAAUACACAUGUUAAAGUUAUUUUGUAAGUGUAAUUGACAUAGGUAUGUAUUAUUAUUAUUUUUAAUUAACUUAUUUAUUUAUUAUUGUUUUAUUGCUUUCUAUUUGUGUAUAUCAAUUGGGGAAUUGGUGGAACUCCUACAUAAAAAUCAUUUUUCAAAAACCUUCUUUUGAUCAACUUAUUCAAUUUAUUGCACACCUGAAAAUAAAAUUUGAUUUGACCUAUUUAUGAUGUUUUUUAAAAAAAAUUUAGUGAUUGUAUGAUAUUUUACACAUCUUGAAUAUGAAUUUAGAACUUUGUUUGAAUUAAAAGCAAUUCUAAAAUAGAAGAUAUAAAUGAGUCUUUUAGGGAUUCUGUUUUCACUCGAUUUUGGAAAUUCAAAAUAUUUUUUUUAAAAUAAAUUAUUAGGCGACCUUGUAAUUUUUAUUUGAUUCUAAACUUCUUGAAAUUGACUUUAGACACAAAAUAUUGAAAAUAGUUUCCCUAAUCAAAAGAUUUUUUUUUUUUUCUUGCUGCAUUCAUUGUAUUGCCUUAAUUUUGAACAGAGGAGUUGUUUGAUUGUUUUUAAAAUUAAUUCAUGUGCCUUCUGAUUAUAUUGUCUUUAUUUUUCUUGUAAAGUAGACAUUCUGAACAUUAUGAUUUUGUGGCACUUCUAUGUUAGUUUAAAAAAUUAGUUUAUGAAUAUUAUUGAAUUUUGUUUUGGUUUGGACCUUUAGAGAUGUUUCUAUAAACUGGAAUCAAUCGAAGCUUUACUAAAUUGCUUGGCUUUUUGGUUGAUAAUCUAGACAUAUAGAAGAGGCCUCCGAAAAUUUUUGUAAUUAAAAUCCACUUCUAGAAAUUUUUUUAGGAUUUAUUCUUUAAAGGUUCUUAUUGUGAUCACAUGUUGGGAUUUCUAUACAAUGUUUAACUUACCUUUUAACUUGGAGUUAAUUGAUAUGUCUUUACUUGAUCUUGGCUUUGGUAUUGUAAUAUAAACAUAAUGAGGAUGCCAUAUGAUUCCUUUUAUGUUGAAAUGAUGUCUCUAGAUAUUUGUUUAGGAUUUUUCAAGUGAAUGCAACUGUUUUGCCCAUUUACGGCAUGUUUUUGUCUUAGUUACUAACUUUGAUACUUAUGGCUACCUAGAGUAUUAGUUUAAAUUUAAUAAUGAGCUUAUAUGUAUGUCCUAGGUGAUAGAUGAUAUUCUUUUGGAAUCUUGCUUUUUUUAGCUAUACAAAUGUUAUAUAUAUUAGUGUUUUUUUUAUCAUAGUUAUUUAUUAUCAUAAAUUGUUCUAACCCUAUUUCAUCACAUGUAAGCACACUAUAAGUUAUGCAUACUAUCCAAGUAUGUCUCUCACACCUUUUAUCCAUAUAAUUAUGCAAAUAUGCAAACUUUGAGCGUGCAAAUUCAGAUAUAUGUUGUUGCUUUGUAUGUUUUGUUUGUUACUUGAUUAUUUGAAUGGGAUGAAAUGCAUGGUGUAUGCUAUAUUUAUUAAACUAACUUCAAUAUUUUCAUGAAAGCGCUCUGGGAUGUAGCUCAAGUAUGCCAAUCCCUUCUUCCUACAUGAGUGUUUCUUGUGGUAUGAUUGUUUGGUUAUGAAUAUUAUGUUGUUUACUCUUAAGCUUUAUCACCUUUGCUUCAUUUGCAAUCUCAAUCAAGCAAUUAAUUGUCAUCAUUCCCUCAACCUAGCUAAUAGAGACCUUUUUAGGGUUUAGAGGGGUGCUACACUUUAAGGUAUCUUCCUAAUAGGUAACUUGAUUCCUAGACCUAGAUUCGGGUUUUUCAAAGACACGUUUUUUCAAAAGUUUAAGGAGUCCUUUUUUCUUAGGGUUUUAGUUUCUUAUUUUAUUUUUCCUUAAAUAAAAUAAUAAAAAUAAGUGGCGACUCCAGUUUUUUAUAAAAUACAAUUUUUCACUCAACAAAAACGAGUCUUGCCGAUUGAGUGGGGAUGCAUGUGAAAAAUAUGGGUCCACAGUAUGGUUGAUGAUGAAAUUAUUAGUAAAUACAGAUAUAUCGAUAUUUGGAUUUUAAGGAUACAAAAUAUGAAUUUUGGAAGUGCACACUUAGAAUUAGGAUAAGAAAUAUUUGGUUUCAUUCAAUGAGAACAAUUUAUACAUAUUAUAUGGGAAUAGUGCUUUAGUGCCAAAAUGAAUAUCGUUGUGGUUUAAUCGCAUUGUUAGACAAAGGGAUCCCAUUUUGUUGAAAGGAUUGAUAGUAUUGAUUGUAAGUUUGAACAUGUCAUGCAUAAAUUUAUGAUACUAAUCUAUUUAAUUCAAAUGUAUUUAAUGAUGUAAAAUAAAUUAUGAUACAUGUAUGAUUUUUUUUAAUAUUUAUAUUAUUUAUAUUUAAUUAUCAUAUAAAUGAUAUAAAAAAAGACUUACUAAGAAAAAUAUAAUGAUGGUUGGUAAUCAAUUAAAAUAAAUUGAUUAGAAUUAAUUUAUAUAUUAUUCUCUUAAUAUUAAAAUUAUAAUUUAUUUAAUAUAGUAAUGUUUGUUUAUAUACAACAAAGUGCGACGUUGGCCCAACGGCUGCCAAGGGUUCAAUUUGAACUUUUUAACUUGGGUUCAAGUUGGCCAAGUAAGAUAGCAAGAGGAGCAUGAAAAUAUUGAUAGAAAAAUGGGGAAAUUUUUGAAAAUAUCGUCGAUAUAUCGGCUGAUGAUAAUCAGUGAUCGAUUUCAUAUUUACCCCUCUUUUUUGCCCAUGUGCAUACUUGAUGGUUAAAGUGCCCAUGACUCCAUUCCUACCUUUUUAAAACACCUUAAUUCCUUGCUUAGUGCCCCACCAAUUGAAAAGUCUAUGAUAAAAUUGUUGGUCAGUCUUUCCUUAUCAUAUUUGGUAUUUGUGGAGCUCGAUACCUAAUAUUGUAGCAAAUCCCAUUGAAACUUUAAUCCUUGUUUAGAUCAUGAUGGUCACUAUUAUAUAUUAAGCUAGGCUGCAAAGUUAGAAUGCCAUAUUUGACAUUUCAUCACAUAAUGAAACUUUAUUGUUGCACAUGAAUUUGAUUCAUAAAAUAUUCCAUUAAAAAAAAGUUUAGGAUCACUUUAGUCAAUCAUAAAGCCAUAGAUGUUCAUUAUCAACCAUGGAAACUCAGGUGGAGCCGUUGAUUAAAAGUUUGACAUUGAUUGCUUCUUGCUAAAUGUUCUAGGACUCCCAAUAUAAUCAGCCCAGGUUAAGGUCAUGUAAAUUGAGUUUGAAUUGGGACUUUUGUUGUUCCACUUUCCUGUUGUGUAAGAAUGGCCUAGUGUCCAAGCUGGUCAGAAUAACUUCUUCAAGGGACUUCAAUUUGUGGUACUUUCGAAAUUAAACGUAAUCAUUAUUUAAUUUAUACCUAAAACACACUAGUGAUUGUUGGGGUGAUGAUAGAACAAACCUAUAGUAAUUCAAAAGAAGAAACAAGAAAAAUUCGAAUGGAAGUAAAAAGAGCUUCGCUUGUUUAGAGGCUUGCAAAUUGCAACGUCCUAAAGAUAGAAUUUUGGCACCCUGUUCUUGAUUACAAUAGUAAAUGAUGUAUGUCUUUCAAGAUACAACUCUUAAAUGAUUUAAAGAGGGUAAUCUCCUAUUUAUAUCCUUUCAAACCAAGUGUUGUGUCCCCUCUAAAGGUUGUGUCUCCUUCAUUAGACAUGUUCUUUUCAUUCACCAAUUUACUAUGACAUGUGAGUCAUUAGUGCUCUUGACAUACACACAUUUUUCACACUCAUUUAUCUUGAAACCAUUAGAAGCAUGGUGUGAUCAAAUUUUUCAUGCCAUUGUUUGGGUGCUUGCUUUAACCCAUAAAGGGACUUGAUAAGUCUACAAACUUUCUUUUCUUGUUCCUUUACUACAAACCCUUUAGGUUGUUCCAUAUAAAUUUCUUCAUCUAAAUCUCCAUUUAGAAAGGUUAUCUUGACAUCCAUUUGAUGAAUUUCAAAAUUAUGGAUGGCAGUUGUAGCAAUUAACAUCCUAAUGGAUGUAAUUCUUGUUACAGGAGAGUAAGUGUCAAAGAAAUCUAAACCCUCCUUUUGUCGAUAUCCUUUAGCUACUAAAUGUGCUUUGUACUUGUCAAUAGUACCAUUAGUUUGUAGCUUUCUUUUAAAUAUCCAUUUGCAACCAAUUGGUUUAUUUCCCGGAGGAAGAUUAACCAAUUCCCAAGUAUGAUUUUGCAUAAUGGAAUUUAUUUCAUCAUUUACUGCUUCUUGCCAAUAAGGAGCUUCUGGUGUUGACAUAGCUUCUUUAUAUGUUUGAGGUUCCACUUAUGUCAAGAGGAUGAUAAAAUCAGGUCCAAAAGACGUGCUAGUUCUAGCUCUUUUACUUCUCCUAGGUUCAACAUCAUCCCUUUGUUCAUGUUGAGUUCUAAGCAAGCUAUCAUCAAUUUUUAUUUUAAUGAUUUCAUUGUGUCUUUCUUUGAAAGGAAAUAUCUCUUCAAAGAAUUCAACAUCUAUGGAUUCCAUGAUGAUAUUAUUAAUAUCAGGAACUUUAGAUUUUAUCACUAGGAAUCGAUAUGCUAAACUAUUUGAAGCAUAUCCAAUGAAGACACAAUCAAUUAUCUUUAGUCCGAGUUUUGUCCAUUUAGGUAACGGAACUUGCACCUUUGCAAGACACCCCCACACUUUCAACUUUUUAUAGGAAGGUAGUUUUCCUUUCCAUAACUCAUAAGGAGACUUUGAUGUUUUCUUAUGAGGUAUUCUAUUUAAAAUGGUAUUAGCAGUAAGUAAUGCUUCCCCUCACAUGUAGUGUGAUAACCCCGAACUAUUUAACAUAGAAUUAACCAUGUCCUUAAGUGUUCGGUUAUUUCUUUCAACAAUACUGUUUUAUAAUGGUGUAAAUGGUGCUGUAGUUUGAUGCACUAUACCAUGUAAUGCACAAAAUUCAGAGAGAGUUGUAGACUCAUACUCUCCUCCUCUAUCGGACCUUAACAUUUUCAAAGUCUUAUUCUCUUGAUUUUCAACGUCAUUCUUGUAUGUCUUAACGACAUCAAUGGUUUCAUCUUUGCUAUGUAACAAAUAAACAUAGCAAAAUUUGCUAUAGUCAUCAAUAAAAGUUAUAAAAUAUUUUAUGCCACCUCUAGUUUGAUUCAUUUUCAAAUCACAAAGAUCACUAUGAACUAAUUCAAGUAGUUCACCAGAUCUUUCAAUUGAUUUAAAUGGCUUCCUUGCAAACUUUGAUUCAACACAUAUUUCACACUUUUGUGUUUCAUUAAUAUCAAAUUUAGGCAAUAAACCUAAGUUUGACAUCUUAUACAUGGAACGAUAAUUAACAUGUCCCAACCGAGAAUGCCAUAAUUCACAAGAUUCAACAAUGUAAGCAGAAGACAUAAAGCUUUUAUUGAUAGUUGAAGCAAUUACAUUGUCAUUGAAUACAUUGAUUUUGAACAAGCCCUCACUCAUGUAUCCCUUUCCUAUAAAGGCUCCACCCUUAGUCAGCACAAGUUUGUCACUCUCAAAUACAAGUUUAAAUCCCUUCUUACUAAGAAGAGAAGUAGAUACAAGGUUCUUCCUAAUUUCAGGUACAAAGAGGACAUCCAUCAAGGUGAGUUUCUUCCCUGAAGUGAGAUUCAUAACCACAUCACCCUUGCCUUCCACCAUAGAUGAAGAAGCAUUUCCCAUGUAGAGUUUUUCUCCACUUUAAAUCUUCUAGAAAUUCACAAAGGAAUUUCUAUAACCACAAAUGUGUCUAGUGGCUCUAGAAUCAAUCCACCAAUCCUUAGAGUUCAUCACAACAUUUGACUCUAGGAUUACAACAACAAAAUUUUCAGAUUCUACCAUGUUUGCUUAACUGGCUUUUCUCUCUCUUUCAGGUUUUUUCCCAUCAUUUUUGUGCCAACAAUCCUUGGCAUGAUGGUUGGAUUUUCCACAAACCCAACAAGCCCCUUUGAUCUUCUUAUUAUCAGGCUUGUUGUUAGUAGGUUUCUUCCUCUUUCCAUUGUUGAAGGGAAGUUUUCUCUUCUUGGAGCACUCUUCUUCCAUAAUAUGGGCCUUGGCUUCCAUGAAUGACUUGCCAACAAAUUUGUCAUUCUUUCUGUUGUCUUCUUCAAUCCUAAGCCUUACUAUCAAAUCCUCUAUUGACAAUUCCUUGCGUUUAUGUUUCAGAUAGUUCUUAAAGUCCUUCCAUGAAGGAGGCAACUUUUCAAUGAUGGAAGCAACUUUUCAAUGAUUGAAGCAACUUGAAAUGCUUCAUUGAUCAUCAUUCCCUCAACAUGCAUUUUAUUGAUGAGGAUUUGAAGUUCUUCAACUUGAUUAAUAAGAGUAAUAGAAUCAAUCAUUUUGAAAUCUAAAAAGUUACCAACAAUGAAUUUCUUUGUUCCAGCAUCUUCAGUCUUGUACUUCUUCUCAAGUGCCUCUUACAACCCUCUUGUUGUAGUGAAUGAAAAGUAGACAUUGUAGAAGGAGUCAACCAGACCAUUGAGAAUGCAGUUUCUACAUAAGAAGUCUGAAUGCUUCCAGGCCUCUAUAACAUUGAAUGUCUCCUUUGUUAGUUGUUCUAGUGCUUUGGGGCAUUCCUCCUUUAGGACAUGAACAAGGUUGAGGGUGGUGAGAUAAAAGGGCAUAUUUUGUUGCCAUCUUUUAAAGUCAUCUCCAUUGAAUUUCUUUGGUUUUUCAUGGUGUGUUCCUGCCUUAAUGGGAAUAGGAACUUCAGUGUUUGGUAAGAUAGAGUCUAACUUCAAUGUUUGUUCCAUGAUCACUAAACAAAAUUCUAUCUUUAUAUUGUUGGAGUGACGAUGGAACAAACAUGUACUAAUUCAAAAGAAGAAACAAGAAAAAUUCAAAUGGAAAUAAAAAAAGAUUCAUUUGUUUAGAGGCUUGCAAAUUGCAAUGUCCUAAAGACAGAAUUUUGGCACCCUAUUCUUGAUUGCAACAGUAAAUGGUGUUUGUCUUUCAGGAUACAACUUUUAAAUGAUAUAAAGAGGGCAAUCUCCUAUUUAUAUCCUUGCAAACCAAGUGUUGUGUCCCCUCUAAAGGUUGUGUCUCCUUCACUAGACAUGUUCUUUUCAUUCACCAAUUUUCCAAUAGUGAUUGCUCAAAGAAAUUAUCAUUCAAUAAUUGUGUAUAUAUGUGUAGGCCAAAGGAAACCGCCAAAACAUACAUGUUUUUAUAAUUGUCAUACAACAUUAGGCAUGGCAUGAUUGCGUACCAACCAAAGUUUUCAAGGACAACACCUCAUGGCCGGCCAUCUAGCCUGUUCCUCUUUUUUUCUUUAAGGCUUUCUAUGAGAUUUUGUAGGUCAAAACAUUUUGCUAUAAAUAGACUUUUAAUUUAGACUCCAAGAUGAAAAUCACCGGUUCAAGUAAUCAUUGAAGCUGAUCUUUAGAAGAAACUUGGUAACUACUCAACUUUAAUAAGCUCCAAUGGCUUCUAAGCGGUUUGUUGGCGCCAUAGCAAUCUUGGCAUUUGUUCUUGCAGCUGUGGCCAUGGCAACAGAGUUUGCUGUUGGAGAUGACCAAGGAUGGACCAUCAAUUUCGACUAUGAAGCCUGGGCCAAGGACAAAGUAUUUCAUGUUGGAGAUGAACUAGGUAAUGUAGCUCAAGCCUUAAGCUAAGCUAGGAUUUCAUGUUCCUUUUAUCACUUCCUUUGAUUGAAGCUGCUAAAAGUAUUACGGUCGAUUCUCAUACAUGGAGUCUUCAAUUACACGACGGGAUGGCAUAAUGUCUUCAAAGUGAAUGGUACGGCCUUCACAAACUGCACUAUACCACCAACAAAUGAAGCUCUUUCCACUGGAAAUGAAGUAAUUACACUAGCCGCCGAUGGAAGGAAGUGAUACAUUUGUGGUGUAAACGACCAUUGUGCCAACUAUGGACAGAAGCUUGCCAUCACUGUAUUGGAAGAGUAGGCAUCUCCUGCACCGGCCCCCUCCACUCCCAUAACACGAGCACCCAACUCUGCUCAUGGGAUCUCUGGGUCCGGGUAUCAUCUUCUGAUGGCAGCCAUGGUUGCUAUUGCUUUCCUAGCUGUUUGGCCUGUUUUUACUCCAGAAGAACCUUAGAUCACCUAGUCUUAAGAAAUUUAUUUUGUUUUAUGGUUUUUUUAUUCAAUUAUUUUUUGUAUGGGUGAAAGAAAAUGGUAUGUUGGAAAUAUGAAAGAUGGAAGAAAGAAAUGAAGAUGAAUCUGUUGAGAAAUGAAAUUUAGUCACAAUCUCACAUUUUAUAAUGCUAUUAUUUCGAAAUAUAUAUGCUUACUUGAGUUUCAAAUUUUGUGUCUUUAACUUGAACAUGCCGGUAUACAAUUCAAAUUUGUGUCUUGAACUAGUAAUCUUUAGAGCAAAAUUACCAACCUAAACUAAUACAUUAGUAUUAAUAAUUAGCAUAAAUUACAAAAACCACUCAUGUAAUUCACUCGUAUGACAUGCCGGUUUUUUUUUAAAAUUUUUUUUUUAAGGUAAUGUCAACCUUAAAAUAUGCUCAAAUGUCAAAUAAGUUUUUCUAUUAAUUUUUUAAAUAAAAAAAAUGGAUGGAGAAACCCCUAUGACAAGCAGUAUACAAAUUAAACAUAUCCAAACAUAUCAUUUACAACUCAUGUCAAUGUUUAUAUGCUUGUCACAUGGGUUUCUUCAUCCAUUUUUUUUUUUAUCAAAAAUCUUUAAGUAAAGAGCUUAUUUGAUAUUUAAGCAUAGUUUAAGAGUGAUUUUCAUUACAAAACAAAAUUUAGGGGUUAAAUUGAAAUAUGGGUAAAAGUAUAAGGGUGGUUUUAUAAUUUACAAUAAUAAUUACUCAAGAUUGCUAUUUUAUAAGACUUUAUACGUUGUGUUCUAAGAAAUUGUGAGUGGUAUUCACGUUUCUUUUAUUGUAUUAGAGUCAAGUGCCUAGUUUUUCCUAAGCUUUUGCAGUGUUUUGUAUAUUUGUGUGUAGGAAUGAAGUCAGAGGGAAAGCGUGUGUUGAAAAGUAUUGUUUAAAGCACAAAAUGAUCCACAUAUGAAGAUUUACUCACCUCACUUGGUGAGUUUAGGCAGCAAAUGGACCACAUUCAAUGUAGCAGACUCACCUAAACUACACCUAGGGUAGAGUAGGGGUGGGGUAAAGUACCCCAACACCUAUUAUGUUUCCUUAGAAUUUCUCAAAACCUAUAUUUUUUUCUUCAAAUAAUUUUCAACAAUAAAUAAAAAUCAUAUAAAUACAAGUCACAUGCAAAUGCUUCAAUACUCUCCAACACAAAUUUAUCAAAACAAAUUCCUUCAUAUAUUUCCAAUUACUUGAUAUCUUUAUCAAAUUGAGCAUAAAAUUAUUUAAGAAUAUCCAAAAGAUAAUUACACCAAUUUCAACUCAUAUUUCAUACAUUCAACAUACAUGCUCAAGUAAUAUAUGAUAUCAAUAAUUGGAAAUAAAUCAAAAAGUACAAUGAGAGAAAGAGAGACAAUGACACCAAAUUUUAGGUGGAAAAUCUCUUAAGAAAUAAAACUCCACGGGUAUGCAAGUGAUCGAAAAUAUUCACUAUGAAAAAUAAAAACUAAAUAGUACAAGGUUUUAUCUAACUCAAGCCUACCAAUCAUUUCUGAACCAAUUAAUUAAUACCUUUCUAUUUUAACUUCACACCUUCUUUCGAAACAUACUUGAAGUCCACACCAUACUCAAUAUUGGCAUCUUCUUGAAUCCACACAAGAAGAAAAUGAGUUUUUGGAAGUAUUAAGUAGUAGAUUUGAAAGUCCUAUUUAUUUAUUCUCGAUGAAUAACAAGUAUGAAGCCAAAUUUCAAUUCAUGACUUCUAAUUUCAUAUCAGCCUAAAAUUUUGAAUUUUCCUAGUUUAUCAUAGAUUUGAUUUAUUUAUUUAUUUUAAAUAUUAUUAAAAUACGACCGUUUGCAAAAUAUUAAGACUUUUUCAAUAAAAAUUAUCACUUGAAACCCAUCUCUUAAAAAAAAUGAAUUUAAUUUAAAUUACUAAGCAUGUGACCAUUGAUUUUGUAUUUUUUUUCUACAUAAAAAAUAAAAAAUAAAAUCUUUUUUUAUAAAAAAACUCAUAACAUGGAUUUCAUCAAGCACAAAAUUACUAUAGUUUUAGAAAUGUUUUUUUUCUUUUUCUUUUUUAAUUUUUUUUAUCAGAGAAUGAUAUUUAAAAAAAUAAAAACCAUGGUACUUGUGCAGAAUGAUCUUUCAAGUUAAAUGAUUUACUGUGAAGCAGGCAAAGCAUUGCACGACCAGAAUUUCUAAGUGCCUGCCUGUGUCUUGUCUAUCAUUUUUUUUAUUGAAACAUAUGCUAAUAAAUUUGCAUGUAGACAUUAUAAAAAUACUGGUGUUUGACUCUUGUUCUUAAUUUCCUGAUGUAGGUAGAGAUGUCGAGGAGGCAUACAUUCAAAGGACUCUACUGGUCUCAAAUAUGUAUUGAAACUGCAUUAUCAAAAUCCAAUUUCCUUUUUUUAACAAGAACAAUAAAAAGUAAAGGAUGAAAGAGAAAGAGAAAGAAAUUAUUUUGAACAAAAGUUUAAAAAGAAAAGCUAAAAUGCACAUUAGUUUGGUGAAAAAGGUUGUUUAUAACCCCAAAAAGGUUGAAAAAUUGGUGAUGAAAUCAUUGGACUUUCUUGCCUUGUCGUAUUUGUAUUGAAAGAAUCUGAUACCCGAUGUUUCAAGGCAUUACAUUAAAACUUUAAUCCUUGGUUAGAUCAUGAUGUCCAAUACUAUAUACUAAGCUAGGGUACAAAGUUACAAUGUCAUAUUUAGCAUUUCAUCACAUAAUGAAGCUUCAAAAUAUUUUUCCACAUGAAUUUGAUUCAUAAAAUUUUCCAUUUAAAAAAAGUCGUAGAUGCUCAUUAUCAACCAUGGAAACUCAGGUGGAGUCAUUGAUUAAAAGUUCGAUAUUGCUAGCUUGCUAAAUGUUCUAAGAGACUCCCAAUAUAAUCAGCUCAGGUUAAGGUCACGUAAAUUGAGUUUGAAUUGGGACUUUUGUUGUUUCACUUUCUAGUUGUGUAAGUAUGGCCUAGUGUCCAAGCCGGCCAGAAUAACUUCUUCAAGAGACUUCCAUUUGUACUACUUUCAAAGUUAAUCACUAUUUAAUUCAUACCUAAAACACACUAGUGAUUGCUCAAAGAAAUUAUGAUUCAAUAUUUGUGUAUAUAUGUCUAGGCCAAAGGAAACCAUCAAAAGAAAUAUGUUUUUAUAAUUGUCAUACAACAUUAGGCAUGGCAUAACUACGUACCAACCAAAGGUUUCUCCGACAACACCUAUCAGCAUGUAACAAAGAUCUGUUAUCCGAUCUUUAUUCAAAUUCAAAUAUUUCUUUGUAUAUAGCAGAGUAGUUGAGUCUUCCUUAAGACUAGGACUUCCUCCUAUAUCUAGGAGUGAUCUUGUUAUUCCUUUGUGUAUAUGUACUCUAUUUCGGUUAAUGAAAAUUAGCGGAAAAAUCAUAAUUGAUUCUCAUCUCAACAUGGUAUCAGAGCCCAUAUUGAUUCCUCCCCAUUAAUUUUUUUUUUCUUCUCUUCUUUCCUCUAUUGUUUCCCUCUUACUCUCUUGCUAUCAAACACCACAAUGACAACACCACACUCCAUCAACAUCACCUCUGCUGCUAGUCCUCCAAACACUGAAAUUCCUCUUAUCACCAUCAACAUAUCAACUCAAGCACCACUCAAACCCACCUCCACAAAUUACCUAUCCUAGAAGCUGCAAUUUGAAACUCUAUUCAUUGGAUAUGACCUCAUUGGGUAUAUCGAUGGAUCCAAACCAUGUCCUCCCACCACCAUCACAACAAACAACACUGCCACAACCAAUCAUUCUCACAAACUUUGGAUUCGUCAAGAUCAGCUGUUGCUAAAUGCCUUAAUUGGCUCUCUUUCCCCUACUAUCAUUCCCUUCAUUGCCCAAGCCAAGACUGCCAAAGAAGCAUGGACCAUCCUUGCCAAUACCUAUGCCAAACCCUCACGUGGUCGCAUCAAACAAGUCAAAACCAAACUUAAGAAUCCAACAAAAGGCAGCCAGAAUGUAACCGAGUAUCUUCAUUUUGUCAAAACUUGUGCUGAUGAACUAGCCAUCCUAGGUGUACCACUAGAUCCUGAAGACCUCACCGACAAGAUCCUCGAUCGCUUAGGCGAUGACUACAAGGAACUGGUCUGUGCAGUACAAGCUCGUGACACUUCCAUCACAUUUGAUGAGCUCCAUGAGAAGCUACUCUCCUUUGAAGCCUCUGCACCUGCAAUCACAAGUUCAGAAACUUCAAUUCCAAUUACUGCCAAUCUGAUUACUACUCAAAAAGCGCUAUUUCAUAACUUGUAAUUAACUCUUUUAAACACUUUUGAGUAGUAGUUAUCACCUUUUAACCCAAUUAACAUAUUAAGGACCCUUGCAAUCAAUUCUAAUCAAAUUGUGUUAAGUUUUGGUGUUUUGAUAGCUUUUUUAUCACCAAAGCAAUCCGAGAUUGAGGAGAGUUCUUUGGAAUCCAUGGCAAAAGAUGUCCGGAUAGGGCGUCUGGACACACCAUCAGAGGGCGGCAGAACGUGGGCUGUGGCAGGCUAUCAGAAUGACGUAGCAAGGCUUGUGCACUUUAGUCAAUGAUCCAGACAACAUAUUCGAAUAGGAUAUGCUAUCGUCCUGGGUGUGAUGAUCGCGAGUGCCAUGUGCUUCUCCCUGAGGGAGUCCGGAUAGGGGAGCGCACCACAUAUUCUCUUAGAGAAUCCGGAUGGAGUUGCUCCCGAUAGCGAUGUGCGCUCUGUGUCAUCAGGGGGAGGGGUCCCUACACCUUGCACACGCAGACGGCCCCCUUGCGACGUGUGGCAUCGUACAUUCCACCCGGAUGACUCACAUCCGGAAUUCUGCUCCGCCGACAUUCCACCUGAAUGUCUCACAUCUGGAAUUCUUCUCCGCCGACAUUCCAUCUGGAUAUUUCGCAUCCGGCGCCUGACGCCGGAUGGGAGAAGAAGGCGUUUCAACUUCCCCGGUCAGACAUAUCCGGAUCCUCUGAAAGCGCUUACCCGGAGAGUUUCGCAGCCAUUUUGCACAGUGUCGUGGUGUUCUCCUAAAGCUUCCCGAUAUGUGCGACCAAAAUUUUGAGAUAUUUUGCUUUAGAUAUUUGAUGUCUAAAUCCCCAAAAUCUCCUUAUAACCCACCUAUCAUAGGAUUCCUUAGUCUUUAAGUAAGAACAAAGGGUGAAUAACCUCUUAUAUAUAGUUUGUAAUUUCCUUUACAAGAUAAUGAUAUAAUCGGAUCUCGGAAGCUUGUUCUUAGAGACAACCUUUUGUAUAAAUAAGAAAUAUAUUUUGUAGAGCACUUGCUCUGUUUUUCCUAUAUAUAUUUUUGUUCUCUUGUUAUUUUUCUUUCUAGCCAAUCAAACUCUAAGGAUUUUUCCUCAGAGGAUGAGAGGCUAGGCUCUUCGUCUCUUGGAGUGAAGAAAUCCGGGUAAGUUUCCUCAUGCAUAAAUUGGAAUUUUUGUUGUUUUAGUUUUUAAUGAAGAGAAAGUGUGACCCGUUAAUGGUUUUUAUCUUUUUAGUUAACUUAAAACGCCUUUAAAUCACCCGGGCCAACACUUGGUAAGGCAAGUGAUCUCCGUCUAUUGAGAUACACUAGUUUAUCUCUUGCGAGCCUUUGGGAGGUGGUUUGAAGGUAGGAUUUUCUAGAAUAGCCAACACUUGGUAAGCUUUUGGACUCUAAGGAGACAUCCAUUAGUUAUCUCUUGCGAGCUUUUGACGGGUAAUCCAAGGUUAAAGAUCACCUUGAAUGGCAAGUGCUAGGUGAGAGGUAUGAGCCAUUGCAAGAUGCAUCAGUGAGAGGGAUUUAGUGUUUAAACCCAUUAAAGGGAAGCAUCUGUACCACACUGGUUCGGGAAAUAACUAUAUGUUAAAUCUCCAAUGCGAGGAAAAGAAACAAGUGACAGGAACUUCCUUUUUGUAUGAGGAACCUGAGCCUAGUGAUCUGAAACUCCAAGAAACACUUUUCUUUGUAAGUAAAAUCAGUUACUAUUUUUGGUUAGUUUAAAACCAAACCUUUUUCCACCAAAGAUUAUGUUUUCUUUUAAAGCUAACCUUGAAAUGAAAAGGCACCAAUUCAACUUUGAAUUAAUAUCAAUUGUGAAGUGAAAACCCAUCCCAGUGAACGAUCCUAGAGCCACUAUGCUAUAGUAGCUUUGUCUUUGCUAUCCUAGUUCAUGGUGUAAUAGGUUAUAAAUUUUGUUGAUUACUCCCUCAAUCAAGGAGCACCAGCUGGACAUGAAUCAGCUGAUACACCAAGUAGGCACGAAUCACAAUCCAACAAACAAAACAAACCACCAAUGGUGCCCAAACAAACCAAAUAAUUGGCAUAUCCCCUCUCCCUCACAUGCACCUAUUGGCAACCAGAAUUGGCGUCCACCAACACCCAAUAAUGGUCGUCCACCAAUUAACUUAGAUCAACGCUUCCAAAAUCGUAGCAACCGUCCUCCAUCUAGACCUUAUCAAGGCUUCUAUCAGAUUUGUGGCAUCCAAGGACAUACAACCAAGAGAUCUCCCUCAUUUCAAGUGCUUCCCAUUCAAUCCUCUACCAUUGCACCCUCAUCCUCCAACAACUCAACUGCUCCUUUGCAGCCAUGAGUUAACUUUGCUGCGAAUAGCACAUCACCAAACCCGAGCUGGUUACUCGACAGUGGCGCCUCUCAUCAUGUCACAACUGAUCUAAACAAUCUGUCCCUUCACUCACAUUACAACGGAAUAGAUGAUGUUAUGAUCGGGGAUGGUACAGGUCUCUCCAUGACACACACGGGCUCCACUACUCUCUCCUCUCCACAAUCAACUUUCACUUUAUCUGAUGUUCUUUGUGUCCCAACCAUGAAAAAAAACUUAAUUUCCAUUUCUCAGUUUUGCAUCACUAACAAUGCAUCAGUUGAAUUCUUACUAUCUUCUUUUUUUGUGAAGGAUCUUCGCUUGGGGGUAAUUCUAUUCCAGGGCAGUACUAAGAAUGGAGUGUAUGAAUGGACGACUCCCAAAAACCCGAUUCUAGCAUUCUCUACAGCCAAAACAACAUCUAUCAACUAGCAUCAUUGUUUAGGACAUCCAACUCUUCCAAUCUUACAACAUAUUCUUUCUAAUUCUUGUUUAGAAUCAUCUUCCUUUAUGCCAAAAGAUUUCUCAUGUACUGCAUGCCUCUGCAAUAAAAGUCACAAAUUACCUUUUUCUACUUCAUCACUUGUGUCUACACACCCUCUUCAAAUUAUUUUUUAUGAUGUUUGGACCUCUCCCAUUAUGUCUUCCACUGGUUUUAAAUAUUAUGUCAUAUUUUUCGAUCACUUUACAAAAUAUAUCUGGUUUUAUCCCCUCAAACGAAAAUCAGAUAUUCACGAAGUGUUUAGACGCUAUAAAACCAUUGUUGAAAAUUACUUCAACCACAAAGUCGUCACUUUAUAUUAUGACAAUGGGGGAGAAUAUUUGGGCCUCAAAGAUUACCUUUAUACCGUUGGUAUAUCUCAUCUAACUAGUCCACCUCAUACACCCGAACACAAUGGCUACUUUGAAAGAAGACACCGUCACAUUGUCAAAAUUGGCCUCACCUUACUCUCCCAUGCCUCCUUACCUCUCACCUUUUGGCCUCAUGCAUUCAAUACUGCUGUAUACUUAAUUAAUAGGAUGCCCACCCCUACUCUCAACCCCUCCACUCCCUUUGAAUUAAUUUUCAAAACAAAACCAAAUUAUGCUAAACUCAAAAUCUUCGAAUGCUUAUGUUAUUCAUGGCUUCGUCCUUAUUCAUCCCACAAACUAGCCCCCAAGUCCACACUCUGUGUCUUUCUUGGUUACUCUUUGUCCCAAAGUGCCUAUCUCUAUUUUGAACCAACCACCUCUAAAACAUAUAUCUCUCGUCAUGUCUAAUUUGUUGAAUCCAUAUUUCCUUACACCACACUCAACAUUCAGCAACCAUGUCUUACCACCAACAGUUUCUAAUUGGAUUCCACCAGUUAUCACCAUUCCCAUUCCUCCUCCAACACAACCGCCUUCUUACACUCCAAAAGUACAAGCUCCAAACUUGGCCCCUGUUGCAAAUCACAUCUCAAACACGUUUCUACCACCCCCAUCAACCAGGACCUACACUACAACCAGAACCUGCCUCACAACAAGUCUCUACACCAGCUCCUCACCAUUCCAUGACUACCCGCGCCAAAAACCAUAUCACCAAACCUAUCCAAAAACUCAAUCUCGACACACACCUAGCCUCUUCCCCCAGUUCCGAACCCACACCUGUUGCUCAAGCCCUCAAAGACUCAAACUGGCGCAACGCUAUGUCCGAAGAGUAUGAUGCCCUUGUUCCCAAUGGGACUUGGGAACUUGUUUCUCCAACCGGCAUCACCAACCUUGUAGGUUGUAAGUGGGUGUUUCACAUUAAAAGAAACUCUGACGAUUCUAUUGAUAGGUUUAAAGCUUGCCUUGUAGCCAAAGGCUUUCAUCAAAGACCAGGUGUGGACUAUCUUGAAACAUUCAGUCCAGUAAUCAAGCCAACUACUGUGAGAUUUGUGCUUAGUAUUGCCGUAAGCAAUGGCUGGUCUCUUUGCCAAUUAGAUGUAAACAAUGCCUUUCUCUAAGGUACUCUAUCAAAAACAGUAUAUAUGGCACAACCUCCUGGCUUCAUUGACACUGAUAAACCCACCCAUGUAUGCAAGCUUCACAAAGCCAUUUAUGGUCUCAAACAGGCUCCUCGGGCCUGGUAUCAUGAAUUGUGCCAAUUUCUUGUAGAUUCUGGGUUCAAGAACUCUCACUCUGACACUUCUCUGUUUAUUCUACAUACUGGAACCAACCUCCUCUAUCUGUUGGUAUACGUUGACGACAUUAUAAUCACUGGGAAUAGUAACGAUCUUGUAUCCCAAGUUGUUGAGUGUCUAGCUCAACAUUUUUCUCUCAAAGAUCUGGGCCCUCUAUCAUAUUUUCUUGGUGUAGAAGUUGUUCCUUAUUGUCAUGGCCUCUUACUCUCACAAAGGUAAUAUAUAAAGGAUCUGCUCACUAGAACUAAUAUGCAAGCUACCAAACCAGUUCAUACACCUUUACCAACCAACUCGUCCUCCAUCAAGUUAUCAUCUGGAUCGCCUCUCUUUGACCCCACGGAAUACAGAAUUGUAGUGGGCAGCCUUCAAUACUUGUCUCUCACUCGUCCGGACAUUUCAUUUGCUAUUAACGAAAUGUCUCAGUUCAUGCAUCAACCAACAGAUGAACAUUAGACUCUAGUUAAACGAAUUUUACGUUACCUCAAUGGCACCGUAAAUGAUGACCUUCUUCUUCAUCGCACCUCACCGCUAUCCCUUCAUGCUUUCUCUGACUCGAUUCAUACCUUCCUCGAUGCUGACUGGGUAGGUAACAAGGAUGACUACUCUUCAACUGGUGCUUACCUUGUUUACUUAGGCAACAAUCUCAUUUCCUAGAGCUCUGAGAAGUAGAAAACUGUGGCUCGUUCUUCUAUUGAGGUAGAAUAUCGCUCAGUUGCUGCUACUACUGCUGAACUCUGCUGGGUUUGCUCUUUGCUCUCUAAACUUUGCAUCAAUCUGGCCAGCCCCCCAGUUGUCUACUACGACAAUGUCAGUGCAACACAGUUAAGUUCAAAUCUGGUCUUCCAUUCUCAAAUGAAGCAUGUGGCAGUUGAUUAUCACUUCCUCCGUGACCAAGUUCAAUCUAGUGCUCUUUACGUGGCUCAUGUUUCAUCUACAGACCAACUUGUUGAUCUUCUAGCCAAACCUCUGCCUCAUUCUCAAUUCUAGAAAUUACGAGUCAAGAUUGGCCUCGUUCCACGUGGCCUAUCUUGAGGGGGCAUAUCAGCAUCUAACAAAGAUAUGUUAUCCGAUCUUUAUUCAAAUUCAAAUAUUUCUUUGUAUAUAGCAGAGUAGUUGAGUCUUCCUUAAGACUAAGACUUCCUCUUGCAUAUAGGAGUGAUCUUGUUAUUCCUCUGUGUAUAUGUACUCUAUUUUGGUUAAUGAAAAUCAGUAGAAAAAUCAUAAUUGAUUCUCAUCUCGACAACAUCCUCUGACCAGCUGACCCAACCUGUUCAUGUUGUUUUUAAGGUUUUCAAUGAAAUUCUGUUGGUCAAAACAUUUAGCUAUAAAUAGACCCUUAAUUUAGACCCAAAGAUGAAAAUCACCUGUUCAAGUAACCAUUGAAGCUGAACAUUAGAAGAAACUUGGUGACUACUCAACUUCAAUAAGCUCCAAUGGCUUCUAAGUGGUUUGUUGGCGCCAUGGCAAUCUUGGCAUUUGUUCUUCCUGUUGUGGCCAUGGCAACUGAAUUUACUGUUGGAGAUGACCAAAGAUGGACCAUUAAUUUCGACUAUGAAGCUUGGGCUAAGGAGAAAAUAUUUCAUGUUGGAGAUAAACUAGGUAAUGUAGGUCAAGCCUUAAGCUAUGAUUUCAUGUUCCUUUUUAUCACUUCCUUUUAUUCCAGCUGCUAAAAGUAUUAUGGUCAAUUCUCAUACAUGCAGUCUUCAAAUACAUAGCGAGAUGGCACAAUGUCUUCAAAGUGAAUGGUACGACCUUCACGAACUGCACUAUACCACAAGAAAAUGAACCUAUUACCACUGGAAAUGAUGCAAUUACACUAGCCGCGCCUAGAAGGAAGUGGUACAUAUGUGGUGUAAACGACAAUUGCGCAAACUAUGGACAGAAGCUUGUCAUCACUGUAUUGGAAGAGUCGAUGUCUCCUGCGCCGGCCCUCUCCAACCCCACAGCACCAGCACCCAACUCUACUCAUGGGAUCUCUAGGUCCGGUUAUCAACUUCUGAUGGCAGCCAUGGUUGCUCUUGCCUUCCUAGCUAUUUGAUGAUCUGUUUUUAUUCCAGGAGUACCUUUGAUCAUCUAGUUUUCAAGAAUUUUCUUUUGGUUUAUGGUUUUUUCAUUCAAUUAUUUUUUAUAUGAUUGAAAGAAAAUGGUAUCUUCGAAAUAUGAAAUAUGGAAAAGAGAAAUGAGGAUGAAUACCUGUUGUGACAGUCUUACAAAUUUAUUUAUUUAUUUAUUUUAAAGUUUAUUGAUGUUUUUAUACCUUGCUGUUUUAUUUUUAUUUAAUCAAUAUAAUAUAAAGUUAAUGUUGUAGUAUGAAGAAAUAAUGUGAGCCUAUAUAUAGAAGCCUUUAGAUUAUUGAAGAAUGAUGAGUUAUACUUUCAUAGACCACUCAAAGAAUGAGAGGAUAUUUUUAAUUUGCUUUCCACUUAUAGAGACUUAUGCUUUGUUUGGAUUAUGAAAAUAAUUAGGAAAUAAUUUUUUUUUUAAAAAAAAGCAGAAAUCUCACAUUCUCUUAUUAGGUUUAAUGUAAGAAAAUUAGAAAGAAAAUCAAAUUCAAUAAAAUUUAUUUGAUUUCAAAUCCUUCACUAUCAGAUGAACUUCCUCCCUUAGUUUGGUGUGAUAAAAAAAGUGCAGCUACCCUAGCUGCCAAUCCGAUCUUCCAUGCCCGCUCAAAACACAUUGAUAUAGAUCUUCAUUUUAUUCUUGAUAAAGUCCUUCAUAAAACCCUUAAUAUGUAUAUUCCCUCAUCUGGUCAGGUCGCCGAUAUCUUCACCAAGCAUCUUCCAAGCUUACAGUUCUCCACCUUUUAUAUCAAACUCUCCAUUGUCCCAUGCCAUAUAACUGAACAACAUAACAUUACUAGGAGUAGUAACUGAACAUCAAGACUUGCAACAACAAGAACAGACUACCAGAAGCAGCAACCGCACCUUAAGACCUACAACAAUAUGAACAGACUAUUGUUAAUGAUUAGUUAGACUGUUAUCAAGAACUACUAAAGCAACAACUACAGUUAGACGGAUUUGUAUAUAUAUAUAUAUAUAUAUGUAGUAGGCUUUAGAACAAAGUAAUCAAUAAUAAAUAUCCCUAUGAUUGUUUUUUUGCUAAAACAAAAAAAUCACUCCCUGGUAACUCGUAGCCUACUAUGAAUAGUGGCAAUGAUUGUCGAGGGUGGCCCUAGAGGUGGAAGGAGUCUCUCUUUGUUAUCUUAUUCUUCUUCUUGCAAAUUCCCUUCUUAUCCAUGAACUCCGUUAACUUCCCACUUUUUACAAACUCUUUUAUAUGUCGUUUUGGACUUCAAUACUUGUCGGUCCGAUUCCCUUGAUCCUCAUCGUAGUCGCAAUACUUAUGAGGCUUGCACUCCCCCACUAUGACCGAAAAGGGUUUGGAUGGUCAAAAUCCUUUCAAUGACUUAAUCUCUUAGAGGAUGUGUUACUAGGACACUUUUUACAGCAUAUAGUUGGGUUUGGAACGAUUUUCUAGAUGAAAGUUAAUAUUUUCUCGAGUUCGCUUCUUCUCUUCUCUUUCAAUUUGAGACACAUCUUUCCUAUUACUUCCCGACUAGUUACGAAUUUGACAGAAUGAUGCUUCAAUAAGGAGGGCACCACAGGAGGUAGCUUUCUUUAUCAUUGAGACUUCAGGUCUUCUCUGGCAUGGCCUGUUUCCUUGCUUUAGCAAAUAAUCCCUACAUGGUUGU